rnacentral:lncRNA from 1 species
CCGGCCUAACCUAAAGUAAAGGCUCCUCCCUCUCUAGAUGGCGAAUCUUGAUUGACUGACACUAGGAACCGAUUCGGAGAAACAAGAAGCAUGCCAUGAGAUACGCGGCGGAUAAAUUUCCGAUAGCGAAUUACUUGACUCAAUGGAUGGAGGGGGCCUCCAACUCAAGCACGAAAUCAAUGUUGAGUCCAUAAUCAUCGAAAGGGGCACCACCAAGUGAGAUCGAGACCAGCACCUUGCAUAGGGUUCCAAACCCGCGCUUCUUAAAAUAUCCCAUAAAAAAAAGGUAGGGGCUUCAAAGCACAAGCGCGAAACUUGACUUUGAGAAAGAAGGGUGGCACGCUAUUUAUAGAUCGGGUGGACAAAGGAAUAGCAAGCCUUUGGAAGGAAGAAAAAGCUAACAUAUGGAUGAAGAUCGGGUGAAUGAGAUAAUUCCCUGUUUCAUUUCAAAAACCUCGAGAUUAGCCUUAGCCGAACACAGGUAAACCGUCCAGACCCCACUCAAACCAUAUUCGGGAUUUCUGUUUUAUGGCUAAUCUGAUGUUGUUGCCAUUCGAUGAAUUUGAUGUGAUUUUGGGUAUGGAUUGGCUAACGAUGCAUGGUGCUAUAGUGAAUUGUAGACGAAAGACAAUCGAACUGAAAUUCCAGAAUAAUGAGUCUAUUAGAAUUGAAUCUGAUGAUUUGAAUAGUUUGCUAGUUGUGAUCUCGUCUAUGUUAGCUCAGAGAUUUGUGAGAAAGGGGUGUGAAGCUUACCUUGCUUAUGUACUUGAUACGAAAAUGAUAGAAACAAAGAUUGAAUCAGUACCAGUUAUGUGAGAGUAUCUAGAUGUAUUCCCCGAAGAGUUACCGGGUUUACCACCUAUCAGAGAAGUUGAAUUUGGAAUUGAUUUAAUAUCGAAAAUAACGCUGAUAUCAAUAGAUCCGUACAGAAUGGCCUUGACAGAGUUAAAAGAAUUGACAGCUCAGUUGCAAGAGUUAACAGAUAGGGGUUUUGCUAGACCGAGUUUCUCUCCUUGGGGUGCACCAGUCUUAUUUGUAAAAAAGAAAGAUGGCAUGAUGAGAAUGUGUAUUGACUAUAGACAACUGAAUAAAGUGACUAUAAAGAAUAAAUACCCUCUAUCACGGAUUGAUGAUUUGUUUGAUCAGUUAAAAGGGGCAACAGUGUUUUCGAAAAUUGAUUUGAGCCGGGUUAUUACCAGUUGCGAGUUAAAGACUCAGAUGUACCAAAAACUGCAUUUAGAAUAAGGUACGGACACUACGAAUUUCUUGUUAUGCCUUUCGGUUUAACAAAUGCACCUGCUGUUUUUAUGGACUUGAUGAAUCAAAUUUUCAGGCCGUACUUAGAUAGAUUCGUAAUUGUGUUUAUUGAUGAUAUUUUGAUUCAUUCUCAUGAUGAAUUUGAGCAUGCUGAGCAUUUGAGAAUCGUGUUACAAAUUUUAAGAGAUAAACAGAUGUUUGCAAAGUUCAGCAAAUGGGAAUUUUGGCUAAGAGAGGUUGGUUUUCUAGGACAUAUAGUUUUAGCCAUGGGUAUCCGAGUAGACCCGAGCAAGAUUUCUGCGAUUAUAGAGUGGAAGCCUCUGAGAAAUGUAACCUAAGUCCAUAGUUUUUUGGGACUAGCUGGAUAUUAUAGACGAUUUGUGAAAAGCUUCUCGAUGAUUGCAACUUCGAUGACACGAUUGCUUCAAAAAGAUAUUAAAUUUGAGUGAUCAAAAAAGUGUCAGUAAAGUUUUGAACAAUUGAAAGCACUGUUGAUAGAGGCCCCAGUAUUAGUUCAGCCUGAGUCGGGUAAAGAAUUCAUAGUUUUUAUUGAUGCAUCGUUAAAUGGCUUGUUUUGUUUUGAUGCAGAAAGGCAAAGUUGUAGCUUAUGCCUUGAGAUAGUUGAAGCCGCAUGAAAAUAAUUAUCCGACACACGAUCUAGAAUUGGCCGCGAUAGUGUUUGCGUUGAAAAUUUGGCGUCACUACUUGUUUGGUGAGAAAUGCCAUAUUUAUACUGACCAUAAAAGCUUGAAAUAUCUUAUGACUCAGAGAGAUAUGAGCUUGCUACAACGGAGAUUGUUAGAAUUGCUAAAAGACUAUGAAUUGGUAAUUGACUAUCAUCCGGAGAAAGCAAAUGUAGUUGCUGAUGCGUUGAGCCGGAAGUCCUUAUUUGCUUUACAUGGUUUGAACACACAAUUAACGUUAUCUGACGAUGGUUCAUAGUAGUCAAGUUGAAAGCGAGACUGCUAUUUGUACAACAGAUUUGUGAGGCUAAAAAAUUUGAUAAUGAAUUGCAAGCAAAAUGAGCUCAGUGUGAAUUGACUUUUGAGUCAGAGUUUAAAAUAGGGCCUGAUGAGUAUUUGAUGUUUCGUUCCAAGAAAUUCUGAGCUUAUUUGGAGAAUUCUAAAUGGAGCACACAGUAGUUGUUUAUUAGUGCAUCAGGGAAGCACAAAAAUGUAUAACGAUUUGAAGCAACAUUACUGGUGGCAUAGCAUGAAACAAGAUAUCUUAGAGUUUGUUUCGAAAUGUUUGAUAUGCCAGCAAGUCAAAGCUGAGCAUCAAGUGCCAUCAGGUUUAUUACAGCCUAUUAUGGUUCCCGAGUGGAAGUGGGAUCGAGUAACAAUGUAUUUUGUAUCGUGUUUGCCCUUAUCUUUGAAAAAGAAAGAUGUGAUCUGGGUUAUUGUUGACAGAUUGACAAAAUUGACUCAUUUCUUUCCUGUACGCACAUAUUACUCACUUGAUAAAUUGGCUGAGUUGUAUAUCUUAGAGAUUGUUCGAUUGCACAGAGUACCACUAUCUAUUGUUUCGAAUAGAGACCCAAGAUUCACAUAGCGAUUUUGGAAUAAAUUGCAAGAAGCUUUAGGUACAGAGUUGUAUUUUAGCACUGCGUUUCACCCGCAAAUGGAUGGUCAAUCUGAAUGAGUUAUUCAGAUACUUGAGGAUGUGCUGCGUUGUUGCAUUCUUAAGUUUGAAGUUAGCUAGGAGAAAUAUCUACCGCUGAUUAAUAAUAGCUUUCAAUCGAGUAUAAAGAUGACACCGUGUGAAGCUCUGUAUGGUCAUAAAUGUUGAGCACCAUUGUAUUGGACUGAGCUUAGCGAGGUAUGAUUCAUAAGGUUGAUCUGAUCAGAGAGACUGAAGAAAAAGUAAAAGUAAUUCACAAUAGUCUGAACGCAGCUUUGGAUCGACAGAAAUCGUAUGCAGACUUGAAACGGAAAGAUAUUGAGUUUUAGAUCAAGGAUAAAGUGUUUUUGAAAGUGUCACCAUGGAAAAAAAUAUUGCUGUUUGAUUGGAAAGGAAAAUUGAGUCCAAGAUUCAUCAGACCGCAUGAGAUUACCAAGUGAGUUGGGCCAAUGGCAUAUUGACUAUCUUUACCGUCUGAGUUAGAGAAAAUACAUAAUGUGUUUCAUGUAUUGAUGCUUUGAUGAUACUGAUCCGAUCCUUCACAUGUCAUUUCUCCAACCGAGGUUGAAAUUCAGUCUGAUAUGUCAUAUGCUAAAGAAUCGAUUCGAAUUUUAGCUCGUGAGAUCAAAGAGCUGAGAAAUAAGAAAAUUGCCUUAGUGAAUGUAUUAUGGCAUUGAAACGGGGUUGAAGAAGCUACAUAGGAACCCGAGGAUACUAUGAAAAAACAAUACCCGAACCUAUUCACUGGUAAGAUUUUUGGGGACGAAAAUCCCUAAGGAGGAGAGUUGUAACAGCCCGGUUUUAGCUAAAUCAAAAUAGCGGUUUUGGAACCACAAAUCCAAUGUUGGAAAAUUAUUUUAAUAUUAUUUUGUGUUACAGCAUGAUUGUAUGUAUGUGUGUAAAUUUAGUGAGAUAAUUUUAUUGUUUAAGAGCUCAAUUUGAGAAAAAGGACUAAAUCGCGUAAAAUGCAAAAGUUGCAUGCUAUUAGUUAAAGGUGUUAUUUGGCCUUGGCUUUUAACUAUAAUGGCCUUAAAUGGUAAUUAGACCAUUUUAAAUGUUAAUGGACAUUAAUGGACAUCCAUUAUAUAAUUUUAUAUGUUUAUUACUAAGGUUAAAAAUGUAAAUUAGUUUAUUAAAUUAUAAUAAAAAACAAAAUAAAAAUUUGGCUUCAUUAUCAUCUUUUUGAACUAAAAUUAGAGAAGAAGAGAACCAAGGGAUUAGGUUUUCCAUUUGGCACAUUCAUAGCUUGAUUGAGGUAUGAUUUUACCUCAGUUUUUGAUGAUUUCUAUGUUUUUGAGAUCGUUGCUUUGUGUUCUAGCUAGCUCGUACCUUAAUUUUCGAAAUUGUUAAAGAGUUGUCAUGUUGACAUUGUUGAAUACUUAAGUAUUUUGAUGAUUGAUGAUAGAUUAUGAAAGUUUGUUGAUAGUUAAACUAGUUUUAUAAAGUGUUUUUUGACAAAAAUGUCAAAAAGGGAUUAAUUUGAAAAAUGUGAUAAUUGUGUGGUUGAAAUGUGAAAUAAAUGAAAGUUUUGGGCUACUAGGGGUCCCAAUGAAAUUUGGCUAGCGUGUAUUUGGUUUGAAUUAUGUGAAUUUUGUGUAUUUGUGAAAUAAGGUCUAAAUGGAAAAAAAUGUGAAAGGGGUUAAUAUGCAAAAAUGCUCAAAUGUAUAUUUUUGGACUAAAUUGAAUGAGUAGAAGAUUAAAUGAGUUAAUUUUGAAUACAUUUAGAUCAAGUAAAGAGGAAUCCAAAAUUAGAUCGGGGGAAAGGCAAGAUUAUCGAGUAACUAACUCGUUCCGUCGUUUUCAUGCCUGAGGUAAGUUCGUAUGUGUUAAUUUAAUUAUAAAUGAAUGUUAAAUGCUCUGAUAUUGCAUAAACUAUGAUUAUGAGAUUAUGGAUAAUGUCUGAAUUGUGAAUACGACUCUACGGAUGUGUUUGACGAUGAAAUCGACAAGUGAAAUUUCCUGGUUGAACCUUAGGAAUAGUUUAAGAUGCUAGUGACAUGUCAUUAGGUUAUUGUGUUGGCUUCGAGCCAUGAUAUUAGCAAUUUGGGUGCGAGCAAUACCUUGAUUUGGCUAUGAGCCAUGGUAUGGGUAUUUUAGAUAGGAGUUACCUUGAUUUGGCUAUGGGCCAUGGUAUAGGUACUUAUCGAUUGAGAUAGUUGAGUAUCCGACUUCUAUUCCAAAUGGUUCAACUAGUAAACGAAUGAUGUGGUUGAGAAAGAGGUUAGUACGAAGUGAUACAGGUACGUACGGAACCUAUUCGAGUAUUACAUUUGGAAAGUUCAAUGAGAUUGUAUUUGAUCAUGUUUUGAGACAUGAGAAAGUUUGUGGUUAAUGUGAUUUUGAUUUGGUAAUGUGUAAAUGGUUGAAUUACAUUUAUUUGAUGAAUUGAGUUAUUCACUUACGAACUUACUAAGCUAUGAAGCUUACCUUAUGUUAUUUGUCUAUGUUUCAUGGUGAAAGUAAAGCUAGCUCGGAUCCGGGAGUCUUCGAGAACAUCAUCGCACUAUCAAACACCUAAGUUGGUACUUUUGAGUUGUGUAUAUAUGGUAUAUGGUAUAUGGCAUGUAUAGGCUAGUUGUAAUGCUUUGGUUGUGAAUAUAGCCGUGAGAGUUGGCUUAUAAAUGUAUAUGUUUGUUUUGUAUAUAUAUAGCCAUGAGUGAUGGCUUAUUUUGGUAUGUUUUGGCAUAAAUGUGGUUAUGGUUUCUUAAUUGCUUAAAUGGUUAUACUUUGAGUUUGGUAAGUGAUCUAUAUGGUAUGCUUGAAGUUGAUAAAUUGAAAAGUUAUAUAAUUGUGAAUUAAUGCUUGAUGUUAUAAGUAUAUGAAUAGGUAAUUAGCAUUGAUUUUGGUUGAAAUGGAUAUGGUAUGAAUUGUGUAUAUUGUUGAUGAUUUUGGCUGCCUAUUGUUUGAUGAAAGGGUAUCAUUUUAGUUUAUGAGGUGGACAUGAGUAAGGGUGGAAAAUUGGCCUUGCAAAUGGCCUAUUUUUGUCCACAUGGGUAGAGAAACGAGCAUGUGUCUCAGCCGGGUGUGACAUAUUGUCAUGCUACAUGACCGUGUGCCCCCUAGUGUUGAAAUUUUACUAAAGUCAGUGUGCUCCACACGGCCUCACACAUGGGCGUGUGACUGGCCAUGUGGCACAAGUCAGUAUACCCCCGUAAUUGGCACACGGUCUAACACACGGGUAUGUGACUUGGUCAUGUUGUAAAAGCCAGUAUACCCUACAAGAUUGGCUCGACCUAGUACACGGCCUGGCACACGGGCGUGUGUGGCCAUUUUGAAGGGCACACGGACGUGUGGUCGGUUGUGUGGUCGGCCGUGUGACCCAAGUUAGUAUGUAUGCCUUGUUUUCACACGGCUUGAGACAUGGGCGUGUUUGGAGCCAUGUGAGGCACACAGCCAGUUCUCACGGGCAUGUGACCCUUGUAUGUUUGAAAUUUUUCUAAGUUUCCAAAAUUUUCAUAUGUUAUCAGUUUAGUGCCGAACCAAUUCUAAAGCAUGUUUGAGGCCUCGUAGGACCUUGUAAGGGACAAUGCGAUUAUGUUGAAUGGUAUUUGAAUAUGAAUGCAUAAAUGUAUGAGUUAUGUAUGAUAAAUGACGUGUAUUGAUCGGUAAUACCUUGUAACCCUAUUCUAAUACUGAAUAUGGGUGAGGGGUGUUACACACGCCCAUGUCUUAGGUCGUGUGGACAUGAAAUUUGCCAAAGUCAAGCCAUUUCCAUCACCCAUUUCAGGCAUAUACCUACAAGCCAUUUGCACCCUUGACCAAGGCAUCAAAGCAUACCAAAACAUGCACAACAUGACUAAUUCGUUAGACCAAAUUCCAUUCAACCAAUAUGCCAUAUAGACACUUCUAUCUCAAUCAAUAUAAUAUACCUAAACAUAAGCAUAUUUAACCACAUUGCUACCAUUUCCAAAUAUACCAUACUUGAACUAUACCAUGUCAAUACAAACUUACCAUUUGGACCAUUACCCACAUGCAUCAAAAUCACAUAAGUGACACAAACCAACCAUUUCCAAAUGGUACCAAACAACCAACAUAUAUAUAAACAUACCAAAAUCAACACUCAGUGUAACAACACAUUUUUAGUGAAAUCAGAAUAGUGGUUUUGAGGCUACAAAUCCAAUGUGAAAAUAUUUGUUUUAUUAUUAUUUUAAUGUCUACAUCAUGUUAGUAUCACCAUAUAAAAAUUUCGUUAAGAAAUUUUAUCGUUUGUAUGCUUAAUUAGAAAAAAAAACUAAAUUGAAAAGGUGCAAAGUUAAAGUUCUAUAGGUUAAAAGCACUAAAUAGAUACAAAACUCAAAUGUUUGAGCACUUGGAUAGCAAAUAGACCAUUUUUAGUUUGGGUGGAUAAUUAUGGACAUUAUACUUGUGUUUUCAAAAAUUAAUUAAAAGGUUAAAUAAGUAAAUAAAUAAAUAAACUAAGUAAAAAUAAAGUAAAACAAAUUGUGAUAUUCUAAACUAGGUUAGUCCACCAAAUUUAUACUUAGAAACUCUAUGGGAGGAGCUUAAAGGUUCGGGCAACACAUAUUUGCUUGCAUAUGAGUAUUUUUCAUCCCGUUCUUAAUGAUUUCUAUGGUUUUGAAGUUGUUGUAGCUUACUCUAGCUAUCCCGGGGAUUAAUUUGCAAAACUAUUAAAAGCCUAGGGAUUUAACAUGAAUGUGUAUGUAUUGCUUUUGAUGUUUGAUGAAACAAAAUGUUAGUUGUUGCUAGAUAAACAACUUCUAUUAAGUGAUUUUUGAUAAAAUUGUCAUUCUGGAAUUAAAUUUAAAAAUGUGAAAUUUUCAUGGUCUAAUUUAUGAAAUAAUGAAAUGUGUGGGUUGGUAUGAGUUUGCAUGAAACUUAGCUAGGCUUGGGAAAGGGUUAAAUUGCAUGUAUUUCAUUUUAUGAGCUUAAGGAUUAAAUUGUAAAGAAAUAAAAACAUUAUGGGUAAAAGGGUAAUUUUUCAAAAAUGUGAAUUUGGAUUGAAUUGAAUAGAAUGGUUAUUAAAUUGAUUGAAUUUAUUGAUUUAGAUCAAGAUAGAUCUUGUACGGCUUUAGAUCGAGGCAAAGAGAAAGCUUCAGAUUAACCGACUCCGGUUCUACGUUUUAUCGUCGAGGUAAGUUCCUAUGUUUAAAUAGCAUUUUAAAUGUUUAAAUAGCAUUUUAAAUUAUGUUAUAAAUGCUAUUAUUUUAUAAUAUCAAAUUGUGUCUUGAUGGAAAAAUACAAUGACGUAUCGACGGUCAUCGGCUAAUGAAAAUGGAUUACUUUGGCUAUCAAAAUAUGGAAAGAGAUAGCUUCAGCUAUUGAAUUAUGAAAAGGGAUGGUGACGACUAUCAACAAUGAAAAGGGAUGGUGACGACCAUCGAAUUAUGAAAAGGGAUGGCUUUGGCUAUCAAAUUAUGAAAAGGGAUGGCUUCGGCUAUUGAUUUAUGAAAAGGGAUAGCUUCGACUAUCAAAUUAUGAAAAGGGGUGGUGAUGACCAUCAAUAAUGAAAAGGGAUGUCUUCGGCUAUCAAAAUAUGGAAAGGGAUAGCUUCGACUACCGAACUAUGAAAAGGGCUGGUAACAACCAUCGUGAUUUUACUUCGUGUGUGCUUCGGUAAGAGUUUUCGAUUCAAUUUACCUUAUUACUAUGGAAGGUAGGAAAUAUGUGUUUUCAUAAUAAUGAAAAGUAUGAAUUCAUAUGAUUUAAGUUUAUGAAUAAUUUAUUUCUCAUGUUGGAUUGGUACAUAUGCAUUUUAAGAUUGUGUAUUGUGUUAACAAGUAUAGAUUAUAUGUUACGAACUUACUAAUAAUAACAUGCUUACUUUGUAUUCAUUUUCUAUGUUUUAUAGUUAAUUGGAAGCUCGUUCGGGUUGGAAAGUUGUCGGAGAUCCAUCACACUAUCUAUUGGCAUUAUCAAUAGAUUUUGAUAAUUUUGAGUCAUGGUUAUAAUGGCAUGUAUAGGUGUUUAUGCUUGAUGAGAUAACCAUUAUGUUUGGCUUGUAAAUGUGGAAUUUUGGAUAAUGAAUUUAGUUGUCAUGUUGGCUUGUAUAUAUAUAGUCUUAUAAUGGUUGAUAAUUUGGCAUUUUGGUACUUGAGUGGUAUGUGUUGGAAUGAUCAAUUGAAUACAUGUUAUGAAUGGCCAUUUUGGUAUGUUUGAAUGCGGUAAAUGUAGUAUAGAAUGAUAUGGAAUUUAGGUUGCAAAUGUUAAAUUGAUAAUAACUAUAUUAUACUUUGUUAAGAUAUGCUUAAUGACAUGUAAAUUGAGGUGCCUUACAGCAUAUUGGUUGUAUAAAUUGCUAUCAUGUGAUUUUAGCUUGAUUAUGCACAUUUUAGGUACACUUUUGAAGUGUGAAUUGGGUGUUUUUGAAUUGCACAAGUGUGUACAUUUUGGGUGAAAGAAUUGGCUUGAAAGUAGCCUAAUUCUUGUCCACACAGCCAGAGACAUAGCUGUGUGUCUCAGCCGUGUGUGACAUACAGCCAGGAGACACGAUCGUGUGUCCCUUAUAGCUUACUAAGGAUUUCAAGUUAGACUGUUACACUGCCUAGGACAAGGCUUGGCACACAGGUGUGUGAGGCCAUUUUGAAGGGUAGACGGCCUGGCACACAGGCGUGUGGCUUGGCCGUGUGACCCAAUUUAGAGAGUUACAUAGGCACGAACAUGGGUUGAGACACAGUCGUGUGUCCCUACUUCGAAUGUCCACACGGCCUAAGACACGGGUGUGUCUCUCGGUCGUGUGACCCUUGUAGUUUGAAAAUUUUCAACAUUUUUCAAAAAAUUCCAGAAGUUUCUGAUUUAGUCCCAAUUUGUUUCUAACGUGUUUUUAGGGCCUCGGGGGCUCGAAUAUAGGACAAUAUGUAUGUCUUUGUUUGGCUUUGCUAUGAUUGAUGAUGUGAUGUUAAACGUUUAAAAUAUUUGAUUGUUUGAAAUCGUAAACUCCGAUAAUACCCUGUUCCUUAUUCUGAUGACAGAUAUGAGUUAGGUGUGUUUCAGUUAUUAGUAUCAGAGCUACAGUUUAGUCGAUUCUCAAACUAAACGUAGCGUGUGUGAGUCUAGAAAUACAUGCCAUUAUAUAACCUGUGAUAGUGUGAUAACUCCUGACCAUUUUGAAACGUGUUUUCUUAUAGUAAUGACAUUCGACCAAGCUGACUCUUAUGAAGUUGAGAGUAACGCUCAAGCCUUCGUUCAAGGAGUAGUGUCGAAUGGUACAAGGCCGUAUCUGAGGGCCGAGAAGGAGAGGCUGAGGAAGCCUUCCUUCAAAUGAUGAGUGAAUGGUUUACCGAGUUUGUAUGUACGAACCCGGCUGCUCAACAACCUCCACCGCUCCUGUUCCCCAACUGGUCCCCAUUAUUCCUCAAGGUUUGGAACCUUUUUGAGUUAAUAAGUCAUCUACUGAUAAGAUUCGUAAGUACGAGGCUGAAGAAUUUAGAGCCACUACUUAGCAUGAUCCUGAGAGAGCAAAAUUCUGGUUAGAAAACACAAUUAGGGUUUUUGACGAAUUAUCUUGUUCACCGGCUGAAUGUGUUAAGUGUGCAUAAUCUUUGUUGAAAGGCUCAGUCUACCAGUGGUGUAACACGUUGACUUCAGUGGUGCCGAGAGAACGUAUAUAAGCUGGGAAUUCUUCCAAACUGAGUUUUAAAAGAAAUACAUAAGUUAGAGAUUCCUUGAUCAAAACCGUAAAGAAUUUCUCGAACUUAAAUAGGGCCAAAUGUUAGUGUUUGAGUAUGAAAGAGAAUUUAUCAGAUUAAGUAAAUAUGGUCGGGAAUGUAUUCCAACCGAGGCCGCCAUGUGUAAAUGAUUCGGGGAAGGGUUAAACGAAGAUAUAAAGCUUCUUGUUGAGAUUCUUGAGAUGAAGGAAUUUGUUGUGCUUGUUAAUCGAGAUCAUAAAGCCGAGGAGCUUAGCAAAGAAAACAGGAAGGCUAAUUUUGAAUUUAGAGAGUCAAGAAAGAGAUCAUCAGGAAAUUCAUAUUAGUCGUUAUUAAAGAAAUUGAGAGAACAUUAUAAUCAUUUGAUUGCUUCAAUGGGAUAUCCUGAUAGAGACAGAGGCAACCAAUAUGCAUGUUCAAUGACGCAAGCUACGUCUAUAGUGAGUGUAGGCAGCGUUAAAGAUAAUAAGCUUGAUUGUCAAUGGUGUGGACGCCGACAUUUUGGUGAGUGCAUGGAGAAAGAUGGGGCAUGUUUCUAAUGUGGUUCAUAUAAGCAUUUUAUUCGUGAUUGCCCAAAAUUAUUUGAGAAAGAAAAAGUUCAGAAUGUUCAACCUAGCAACACUGCUGUGAGGGAUAGACCACCUCGUAAUCCUGGAAAUGUGAUUAGUAGCCAUGGUGGAAUAAAAGACUCUACUGUGAGAUCUGAAGCAUGAGCACCAGCUAGGGCUUACGCUAUCUGUGCAAGAGAGGAAGCUUUUGCUCCAGAUGUUAUUUUUAGUACGUUUUCUAUCUUUGGCACUAAUGUUAUUACUUUGAUUGAUCUGGGAUCAACGCAUUCGUAUGUAUGCACAAAUCUAGUGUCAAGUAAGAAUUUAUCUGUUGAGUCUAUUGAAUUUGUGGUUAAAGUGUUGAACCCUAUAGGUCAGUGUAUGUUAGUUGAUAAGGUUUGCAAAAACUGUUCUUUGAUGACUCGGGGUUACAAUUUUCCAUCUAAUUUGAUGCUAUUGCAAUUUGAUGAGUUUGAUGUGAUUUUGGGCAUGGAUUGACUGACUUUGCACGAUGUUAUUGUGAACUGUAGAUGCAAGCUUAUUUAAUUGAAAUGUAAGAAUGGUGACACGCUUCGGAUUGAAUCAGAUAGUUUGAGUGGGUUGCCUAUUGUUAUUUCGGCUAUGUCAGUGAAAAGAUUUGUGAGAAAAGGUUGCGGCGCUUACCUUGCAUAUGUAAUGGAUUCUAAAGUGUCUGAGUUGAAAUUUGAAUUAGUGUUUGUGGUUUGUAAGUAUUCUGAUGUAAUUCCAGAGGAAUUACUCGAAUUACCACCAAUCAGAGAGGUUGAAUUUCUAUUGAAUUAGUACGAGGAACAUUAGCGAUAUCAAUUGUACCUUAUAGAUUGGCUCCUACUGAGUUGAAAGCAUAAUUGCAAGAAUUGACAGAUAGGGGUUUUGCUCGACCUAGUUUUUCACCUUAGGGUGCACCGGUUCUGUCCGUUAAGAAAAAUGAUGGAUUAAUGAGAUUGUGUAUUGACUAUUGCCAACUCAAUAAAGUUACGAUUAAGAAUAAAUAUCCAUUGUCGUGAAUUGAUGAUCUGUUUGACAAACUGAAAGGUGUAAUAGUAUUUUCAAAGAUUGAUCUUUGUUCUAGCUACUAUCAGCUACGAGUUAAAGAUUCAGAUGUGCCAAAAACCGCAUUCAAGACUAGGUGCAAACAUUAUGAAUUUCUUGUCAUGUCGUUUGGUUUAACUAAUGCACCUGCAGUAUUUAUGGAUUUAAUGAACAGAAUCUUCAUAUCAUAUUUAGGCAAAUUCGUUGUGGUAUUCAUUGACGACAUUCUAAUUUAUUCACGAGAUGAGUCUGAGCAUGCAAAGCAUUUGAGAAUUGUAUUGCAAACCCUGUGUGAUAAGCAAUUGUUUGCCAAGUUUAGCAAAUGUGAAUUUUGGCUCUAGAAAGUCAGUUUUCUAGAACAUAUUGUAUCACCUGAAGGCAUCAGAGUUGAUUCGAGUAAAAUUUUAGCAGUUGUUGACUGGAAAGCUCUGAGAAGCAUAUCUGAUGUUAGAAGUUUUCUGGGAUUAGCUGAUUAUUACAAAAGAUUUGCCAAAGGAUUCUCAAUGAUUGCAACCCCAAUCACGAGACUUUUGCAAAAAGAUGUGAAGUUUGAAUGGUAUGCGAAGUGUUGACAAAGUUUCAAUCAGUUGAAAGCAUUGUUCACUAAGGCACCAGUAAUAGUUCAGCCUGAAUCACGUAAAGAAUUUGUGAUUUUUAGCGAUGCAUCUUUGAAUGGCUUAUGUCGUGUUUUGAUUCAGGAAGGUAAAGUGAUAGCUUAUGCUUCCAGAUAGUUAAAAUCGCACGAAAAGAAUUAUCUGACUCAUUAUUUAGAAUUGGCAGUUGUUGUGUUCGCGUUGGAGAUUUGGUGAUACCAUUUAUAUGGUGAAAAGUGUCAUAUACUUACUGAUCAUAAGAGUUUAAAGUAUUUAAUGUGACAAAAAGAUUUGAAUCUGAGAUAGCAUAGGUGGCUUGAGCUAUUAAAAGACUAUGAUUUGAUUAUUGAUUAUCAUCCGGGUAAAGCGAAUGUAGUUGUUGAUGCUCUGAGUAGAAAGUAUUUAUUUUCUUUGUGAACGAUGAAUACACAAUUGAUGUUGUCUGAUAAUGGUUCAAUUUUAGCUGAGUUGAAGGUUAGAAUGAUGUUUUUACAGCAGAUCUAUGAGGCUCAGAAUUGUGAUGACAAGUUGUUAGCUAAAAGGACACAAAGUGAGUUAACUCCUGAUUCAAAAUUCCAUAUUGGAUCCGAUGAUUUUUUAUUUUUCAAAGGCAGGAUUUGUGUACCGAAGAAUCCAGAGCUCAUUCGAAAGAUUUUACAAGAAGCUCGUAGUGGUAGUUUACCUUUCAUCUGGGAAGUAAUAAGAUGUAUGUGAUUUGAAAUAGAUGUAUUGGUGGCCAGGAAUGAAACAAGAGAUUUUUGACUUCGUAUUGAGCACACGGCCAUGUCGCACGGUCGUGCCUAACUUUGUUCGCUUCUCCCAUGCCCAUCUGUUAGGGUACCACGCCCGUGUAUUGUUGUCCACGGCUUAACGGUACGGGCAUGUCUCACGCCCGUGUCGAAGAAACAUAAUCGAGCCUUGCCCCUGGCACGCCCGUGUUUUUCUAUUCCCACGCCCGUGUUCACCUAUCAAGUUCACCCACGGCCAUGUCGCACGGCCAUGGGGAUUUAUCACAUCUCGUGUUUCGGGGAAAUCAUGUCCUACUUCCACACGACCGUAUCGCGCAGCCGUGUCUCUUCCCCUGUUUGGCCACGGCUUUAGGCACGCCGUGUGCCUAGCCGUGUGUGCUGAAAAACUUUGCAAUUCAAAGAUAAAGUUAACGAUUUAAAGUGUUAGAAAUUAAAAAUAAAGAAAUCAAAAUAUGUUAGUGCUCGGGUUGCCUCCCGAGAAGCGCUUAUUUAUAGAAGCUUAACUUACCUCUCUAGUGAAUGGUCAGGGUGGUUUGAGGAGUUUAUACUCCUCAUUCCUGCUAUCAAUCUCAUCAAAAUAGGGUUUUAAUCGGGUGUUGUUUACCUUAAAAGUGCCGAACUUGGGGUGACUCACCUCCACCGUACCGAAUGGAAAAAUACUGAGUACCGUAAGAGGGAUUUCCUCAUUCGGUGUGGUAGUGACAAUGUGGAGAUCUGCGGCAUCUAGUAAGACUUUAUCACCAACCUUAAGUUGAUUUGGAGAGGUAUCGGGCUUGUUUUGGAGUAGUUUUGGUUUAUCGUGUCUUCUUGAUUUAUGUGCUCGCCAUUCGUCUAGCUCCUCUAUCCGUAGCCUUCAUUCUUUAUGAAUGUGUCCUCUAUCAUUUCUGGAACAUGGCUUGUGAACUUCUUUGAAGCUCAAUUUCUGCAAAGUCAUAUUGUCAGUUUUAGUAGAUUAGUGUGGAAUAUUACCUUCAAUGUUCGAUGUGAUGCCAAAAUUACAAGCUUGAAGGGUGAUCGUUUCGUCUCCUACGCGUUGUGUGAGCUAAUCUGUGCCAACACCAAUUAUUGUUUUAGCAGUUGCUAAAAAGGGCCUCCCUAAAAUCAAAGGGGUGUUAUUAUCCUCCUAUAUGUCUAGAACAACGAAAUCAACGGGGAAUAUGAGCUUAUCUACUUUCACUAGUACAUAUUCAAUAAUAUCCCUAGGAAAUCUUAUAGUUUUAUCUGCCAAUUGAAUGCUCAUCCUAGUUUGUUUAGGCUUCCCAAGACCUAGUUGCUUAAACAUUUUGUAAGGCAUGACAUUAAUACUAGCUCCUAAUGGUAACGAGUUCAACCACUGUUUAGCUUUAUUCCUCAAUGAAAAGGGAAACAACUGAAGAUGAAUGGCAUCAUCAGAAACGCCAUUGAUUUUAAAUGUAUCGAAAAAUUCCAGAAAGUUUGCUAAGUGAGCGUUGGGAUCUUCAUCCUGCAAACCAUCAAACUGAACAAACUGCUGUAUCAUUUGAAUUGUGUUAAAUUUCAGUUCAAAAGUAUUUGUAGCUACAGUCGGUCUAACUAUGCCAGAUUUAGUUCCUGUUACAGAAGGUUUAGCAUAAUCAUACAUAGUAUGUGGAGCAGGAUUUUGAUUAGCCGCAAUUGCAGGAGGUAGCUGAUUGCCUUGGUUUUUAGCCAUCUCUUCUAUUGGGGGUUGAGUAUCAUCUUCUUGCUUGUUUUCUGUGUAUCUUAAGCUGCGCCUUAUUUCUCUUUGGUUUCUACGAACUGUGCGAUCGAUUUCUUUGUCAAAAAGUAAUGGUCCUGACGGGUUUCUUCUAGUCAUAAACUAUAAAAAUCUGCCAAGAGAAAGAAAAAGUAAAUUAAUUAGUAAUAAAAAUAAUAAAAUGAAAUUAAAUUGCAAGAAAAAUAAAUGGCUAAAGUAAUAAGAAUUUAGCGUUCCUAAUAUUUUAGUUCCCCGGCAGCGGCGCCAAAAACUUGAUCGUGAGGUUUCAUGAUAGGUUUUAAAUAUUUAUAAUUACUCGUUCUUGAACUAACUAUUAUCGUGAUGUAGGCAAGUGUACCUAUCGAACAGUAGUAUAGUUUUAGCAAGACCGGAUUGUCGAACCCAAAGGAAUUAAAAGUACUAGUAAUGACUGUCUUUUUAUCAUCUAGCCUAGGAAUAAAAGGGGUUUUUAUUUUAAUUAACUAAUUAUCUAAACUAAGAACACACAGAGAAAAGAAUUGGGGAAUUUCUUUUGGGAAAAUCAUUUGACUUAAGACAAUACCUAAGGAAAAAUCCACCUAGACUUUACUUGUUAUUCUGGCUCCGAUCUGGACGAUUUAUUCAUUCAACUUGUUCCGUAGAGAUCCCUAAGUUAUGUUAUUAUCCCUAUUCAAGACUAAUAACGUCUAAUCCCUAAAUUGAAUAACCGAGACUUUUCUCUAAUUAACACUCUAGGGUUGCAUUAACUCGAUCUAUGGAUCCCCUUAUUAGGUUUCACCCUAAUCUGGCAAAAUCUUGUCACCCUAUUUCUAGGCGCGCAAUCAACUCCGCUUAAUUAUGAUAAAGGUACUCUUAGACAGGGUCUAUUCCUCCUCUGAAUAAGAGCUUAUCUUGAAUCAGUAUCCUGGGAUAUCAAAACAAUAAUUAAGAACACAUAAGUAAGAACAAGUUAAAUAUUUAUCAUACGAUUUAGAAAAUAAUAACAAGAUUCGUCUUAGGUUUCAUUCCACUUAGGUAUUUAGGGGUUUUAGUUCAUAACUAAAUAAGAAAACAUCUCAAAAGAAUAACGAAUAAAAAACAUAAAGAAAACCCAAAACUCCUGAAGGGAAAUUGAGGAGAGAUCUUCAGUCAUGAUGAUGAAUCUGGGUUCUAAGAUGGAUCAAUCGGCUUUCUUGGAGUAAUCCCUUACUCCCCCUUCUCCGUGUCUUUUUUAUCCCUCCUCUAGGGUGUAUUUAUAGGCUUUGAAAUGCCUUUCUUCCUCCUUAAGUAUCCUUUUCUGUGUAAAAUAUAGCUUCUUGAAAAAGGGACACACCCAUGUGCCACGGUCGUGUGAUGUGAUUGCUAGGCCGUGUUCGAUCCGUUAAACUGCACACGGCUGUGUGGGUCAAUGGCUAGGCCGUGUGAAUCGUGAAAGCCUUGUUCGACACCCUCGAAAGACACGGGCGUGUGAGCUGCCCGUGUGGCAAGGCUUAAGCAGUGUCAUCUUCUCGAUUUGGUCCGUUUUGUCCUUUUUUUGCUCGUUUUUGGCUCCUUUUGACUCUUGGUGCUCUCCUGAGUACAAAACAAGAAAUAACCGGAUUAAGAGCACCAAAAUCCACAAAUCUAGUAAUAAACAUCCAUAAAUAUGCUAAGUAUUUGGGGUAAAAAUAUGUAUAAUUUUGCGUUUAUCAUUAUGUUUUAUAUAUGGUGAAUAAAUGUUUGUUUUAUGAUGUUAUCUUCUAGUAAUGAUCCCUAACCCUAAUCCGGUGACGGAUACGGGUUAGGGGUGUUAGAUGCGAGCUCAUGUUUAAGAAAAUGUUUUGACACUAUAAUCUUUUGUAAUCAUUGGAUAUAAUGGCAUGCCAUGAGAUUGUGAGCACUCACGUAUGUGUUUAAUGAUUUGGGCGUUGAGGCCAAUAAGGGAAUAUCGAGCUAAGCUCCAUUCAUCGAGACAUGUUGGUGUGUUGGAGAGUAUUCAGCUUUAUGAUACACUUAUGGGACAUGUUAGACUCUUUGAGUCAAAGUAAGGUGUUAUAAGGAGAUUUGUUUAUCCAAAAGAAAAGAACAUGUGAAUAAGAUUGUGUUUUCCAAAAUAUUCUAUUUCACUAUUUUAAGCUAACUAAUAGUAGGUAACCGUGAACUUGGCUUUGAGUACAUAUGGCGAACCUAGUUCGUAAAAAAGUAACUUUGUUAAAACUCUUGUUUAACUUAUGUUUUUGUGCAUGCUUGGUUUUCCUAUAAAUUCACUAAGUUAGCAAGAGCUCACACUCUCCUUUCUAAACACUGAAGAUAGUUAGAUCGCAUGGAAUGUAGGUGAAGCAUAAACACUGAAUAGGUGAUGCAAGCGAACUUUGGAUUUAAAGGCAAUGUAGGAUUCUGAUUGGGCUUAGAGACAUCUUUCUCUUUGUUGAUUUCAUCGGUUGUUCUAGGACAUAGUUUUUUUAUGCUUACUUUUAUGUUUUUCUUAAAUACCUUUCGCGAACUGAUAAAUCUAUAUAUAUGCAAACCUAAAUUUUAGGCAUUUGAAUAUAGACCAAGCUUGGUUGAUUUUUUCUUAAUUUACAAAUUUAUACUUAAGUAUUUAAUUUCUAACAGUGUGUUUUCCAUAAGCAAAAGCAUGAAAUAACCAAAAUUGACUAACUUAUAUAGAAUUUGCCAAGGUUGCUACAAAGUGACAGGGUUGUCAAAUUGUGCAAAGUGCGAACCCUGGCAAUUGGUGAACUGCUACUUGUGAACCAUUAAUAGUUUUUUAUAUACGAAAUAGGAGAAAGCAUGCAAAAUGUGUUUGCAGGUUGUUCGUGAAGUCUACCCUUUUUAAAGAAACUUACUUUACGAAGACUUAAAAUUUGCGAGCUACACUAGAACUGAACCCUGAUGAUGAGAUGUGUAUCAUACAGUUAAUGAGAUAACUGUUUACUUAAACUUAGAAUACCUCCUGGAUAGAGGUUAGCUUAAGUGUUUUGGUGAAAGUACUUAUUCUGCUGCAUAUUAGAAUCUUAAGAAUGUUUUAUGUUUUAACCUGUGGUGUGUUGGAGGUUAGGUUGGUUUUAAACUAAGAGUCACUUAGGUGGCUAAUGUGGCACUCCAUAGCUCGGGUUUGACCAUUGGACUGGGUAUGGGGUGUUACACUAUCUAACUCAUUCGUCUUUCAAUUAAUAUUAUUUGACAAAGCAAACAAUCUAAUAACAAUUUUCAUUAUCACAAUCCCAAAAAAUGGCACCAACAACUUGAUCGCCUCCAAAUGUGUUUAGAGUACAAAUCGUGCAAAUAAAACAUAUAGAAUGAAGUGCAGUAUCUGCAAGCAAACAUGUCAAAUUGUAAUAUAGUUUUGUGUUACAAUGGAACAUCGAUAAGUAUUCAUAGGAUCGUUCCCAAGGGAUUACAGAUAGUGGAGUUGGGUAGGAACUAUUUUAAAAAAUUUACAUAGUUUUUUGAAAAACAUUGAUUUGACAUCGUCAUCACGCAUUUUGCUAUAUCUGAUUUUGUAAUUGAAUAAUUUAUAUCUGAUAUGUUUAAACUAAUGCUGAGUUGAGUUUCUUCUGUGAAUAUUAUUAUUAUUAGAGACCCAUAUUGGGCUUUUUAAAGCUCACUCCCUUUUAAAUUUUGAAUUUUAGAAAAUCAAGGUUAGGAUGGGCUUGGCUACGGAGGCACCCUUGGUCAUUUUUCAAUUAACUCUAUUGUUAUUGGUAUUUAAUAUUUUGGGGUAUGUUUACUUACAAUGGAUUUCAAUUUUGGGACUUUGGAUUGGAUUUUGGUUUUAAGACUCAGAUUUGAUUUGGGAAUUUUUUUUGUUUGAAUUGGAUUUAAACAAAAUAAUGUUUAAAUUGUAACACCCCUUACCCGAGAUCAUCGCCGGAGUCGAGCAUGAGGCGUUACCUUACUUAACUUACUAAUUCAGGGCAUAAAAUUUGCUUUUAAAAUUAAUUUAUUUAAAUUCAUUCAAUAUGUCCCUAAAAAGGGCCCUCGAGACCCUAAAACAUGCAAUUGAAACGAUUCGAGACCAAACCGGGGACAUUAAAAAUUUUCUGAAUACUUAGACGAAUCAAAACAUUUUAUUUCAUUAUUCCUUAUAAAACUGCCCACCUGUGUCAUAGUCACUAAAUAAAUCAUAACUUGAGUCAAAAAAACACAAAAUUUAAAUUCGUGAAUUUUCCUUGAAAAUAGACUCAUAUAUCUUCUUACUAAUUUUUUCCAGAAUUUUUGGUCUAGCCAAUUAGUACAGUUUAUUAGUUAAAGUUUUCCCUGUUGCACUGUUCGACUACUCUGACCUCUCCUCACUACGAAUCAAUUUUCUCCCUGUACAGAAUUCAAAUAACAAUGCUGUUUGUUUCUCUUGAAAGUAGAUUAACCAAAGAAUCUAGAAAUAUAAAAUACAACUCUUAAUUGUUUUUGUACAGUUUCUAGUGAAUUUAUAAAUUCAGAACAGGAGAUUUAGAAAUCGCUCUGACUCUGUCUCACUAAAAUUCAAAUAUCUCUUAAUAUACACUUCUUUUGCUUACUCUGUUUCUUUCAUAUGAAAAUAGACUCAAUAAGAUUUAAUUAUAUAUCUCAUUUAUCACCUAAUUUCAUUUCUACUAUUCUUGGUGAUUUUUCAAGAUCACAUCACUGCUGCUGUUCAAUACUGUUUUAAUGCUAAUUUCACUUUUUAGUGAUUUCUUUGUAUUAACUACCAUUUAGGCAUACAUAACACCGAAACAUGUUCUUCAUUAGGCAUUUAAAUAGCUAAUAAUUAUCAAAUAUUUACAUACCAUUCUUUAGCCAUAUCAUAAGGACAUACACCCAAAAUGAUUAAGUCUAUAUACAUGCCAUAAACUAGAACGUUUGUAAACGAAGAUACCCAUUUGGUAACUUGAUAGUCGAUAGUGUGAAGUGAUCUCCGAUGACCUCCAACCCGAGCAUGCUUUUAAGUACUUUGAAACAUGGGAAAGUGAAAGAAGUAAGCUUAUAAUGCUUAGUAAGUUCACAUGUAAAAUAAUAAGCAUUAGCAAUCAAUUUAGCUUACUACUAUGCUAUCAUAAUUUGCUUAAAUAAUGUUUAGUUCUUACUUUCCCAUCUUACUCAUUGGUAACCUUACCAAAGGCUCAGAAUACAAAAGGGGGUGGGUGGGUUGAGUUAUUCCCCACAUGGUGUGAUGGGCUGGUACGGGUGGUGUGAUGGCUGGAUUGGGUUGGGAUUGCAUUCACAUUCUGAUUUUGAUUAUGUUACCGGAUACUGAUUCUGAUUCUGUCACCUGAUUCUGAUUCUGAUUCUGUCACCUGAUUUUGAUUCUAAUUCUCAUUUUGAUUCUAGUUCUGAUAAUGUUUCUUAUUCUGUAAUGGGCUAAGGCCCAUCUGGUACUGUUUGUUAUAAUGGGCUAUGGCCCAAUUGAUACUAAAAUUGUAAGUAGAGCUGGGGCCAGACCUUUAAUUCUUUUAUAUGACUGACUGUUCCUUUUAUAUACUAGGGGAUUUCAUACUGAUUUUUCGUAAACUCACCCCGUUUAUUAACCUUUCAGGUAAUUUCCAGCCUUAGACGGAUCGGAGCUGCGAGGGGCUCGGAGGAAGCCACACACAUUAUUUAUGUUACAGUUUUGAUUAUUACUUUUAAAUGUUUUUAUGUGGGUUGUAGUAAAGCCGUUGUAAUUUUCUGGAUUUCAAAUUUGGAAUUUUAUUUAUUGUUCUUAUAAUUUCUAGUAUUAGAACACGGAUUUCCAAAGCAACUACUGUUGUUUAAAACAUCAUGUAUCCGCAAUUGUUUUUAAAUUAAGCUUCCGCAAUUGCCAAGAUUUUUACAAAGUUGUUAAGAAUGUUAUUCAGCUGAGGUAUUCUAACAAGGUUUAAAAAGGGUAUAAGUUUUUAAUUAUUAAGAAGGGUUUUUAAUGGAAACAUGGUUUUCGAAAAACACUUCAAUGUGACACACCAGAUUCGAGCCAAACUUCCAGGCCGGGUUUGGGGUGUUACAAGUGGGAACAAUUUUGUGAAGCUCGUUCACUUCUUGAUGAUGAACUAGUUUGAGAAUUCUAUGCUAGCUUGACUAUGCAAGAUGCUACUGAGGUCAUUGUUCGAAAGAAAAUGCUACCUCUUACUUCUAAGUCCAUCAAUGAUUUGUUCAACUUACCUAAUGUUGAAGAAGAUGAGUACUACCCUAUGAUGAACAACAUCAAUUGGGAUUUUCUUCAACAAGUGCUUGAUGUUGUGACAAAUCCAGGAUCCCAAUGGAUUAUAAGAAAGUAUAGGAGCCAUUCUUGUCGAAGGGAAUACUUAAAACCAGUAGCAAAGGUAUGGUUUUAUUUCGUUCGCUGCAGUUUUACGCCUAUCUCACAUAGUUCAACCAUCUUGAUGGAACGGAUGCUCUUGUUAUAUGCAAAUUUGAAAGAAAUGUCUAUUAAUGUUGGGAAAAUUAUUCUCAAGGAGAUUUAAGAUUAUGCAAAAAAUAAGGCAAGAAGUGCUUAUUUCCCAUCAUUAAUGACUUCAUUGUGCUUAAGGGCCCAUGUUAAAACACAAGCAAAUCUGAAGGGACGAUAUGUUCAAGGAUGCAUUACAAAUUAUGAUCUUGAAAGAUUAGUAGAAAGGGUGCAUGAGUUGAAUACUGAGCCAGAUACUGAGGAGUCAAUAGAUGGAACUGAGACUGAAGCUAAUUCAGUUACAAACAUUGAAGAGGAAGAAUCUGAUAAGGAACCGAACUGUCCUAAACUAGUUGAAGGAUCUAAAAACCCUGAACUAAGGGUUGAGCCAGAAGAAGAACCAGUUAAGCUAAGUGUUGAACCUGAAUCUACAUGUAACACCCCUUACCUAUUCUGGAUAUCGAGACCAGGCACGAGGCAUUACCAGACAUAUACUCGGACAUUUUCAAAAAAAAUAUGGGUCAUAAAAUUUCAUUCCAAAUUUAAAACCAAUCAGACAACAUCUUAGUGUCCUUAUUAUGGGACUACGAGACCCUAAACAUACAUUGAGAACGGUCCAGAAUCAAACCGAGAACUUGAGAAAGUUCCUAGAAAAUUUGUUAGGUUAAGCCUCACACGCCCGUGUGGAGGCAAUACACACGCCCGUGUGCUUUGGGACUGGAAACAUGAAAAUUUAUAUACUUUUUCAUACCUAACUUUACUUAAAUUCAUGCAAAUCCGGGUAAAUUCUUGUCGAAAAAUAAUUAAAUAUUAUAAAUAAUUAAAAUGUGUUAAAAAUAUAAACAUGGUGAAUAUAGUUAAUUUUAUACUUAAUUUUGAUUAAUUUUGACUAUUUUCGACAGAUUCGCGCAAAAGGCAAAAAUUGGCUCGGCUGACACUACUGAAAACACAAAACCGAGAAGCAAUUUGAAGUUUCGAAGCACAUUAAUUUCCAGCCUAAGAUGGUCCAAAAAUGUGUAUUAAUUCAUAAUUAAUUAAUUUUAAUUUAUUCCCUAUUAAAUUUGGGUUAAAUAAAUUAUUUUUAGUUAAUUAUGGAGAAAGGGUCCAGUUGAACGGCACUGGUUGAACCAUAUUGAGUGAACUGAACCAGCCACUAAUUGGGCAGCCCAGAAUCUUCCAUAUGCUGACCCAAAUCAGAAUUUUAUCUAAUUAAAUAUGCUUGCAAAAAAUCCCUUGAAGAACUAUCAAAAUGCAUUCAAACCCCUCCUUUAAUUGUGGCUUUAUGAAAUUGCCCCAAGCUUAAAAUAGCAAAGUUGAAACUCUCAACUUUGCCAUGUGUGUGGCCAGCCAAGGGAGGUCUCUUAGGCUGAUUAUUUUUGCUAUUUUUAGGUGCCAUACUCAGCUAUAAAAGCCACCCCUUGCUGAUCCCUCGACCAUCCGUCAUUCCACAUGUAACACCCCAAACCCGAGACCGUCGCCGGAGUCGAACACGAGGUGUUAACAGACUUCAAACCACUUAUUAGAAAUUUCCCAGACAAGCUGCCAAUCUGCAUAUGAGUCGCAUUAAAAAUCAUAUCUUGAGUUCUGAAACUCGAAAUCCAGUUCCGUAAAUUUUCCCCGGAACUAGACUCAUAUAUCUAUAUGGUAGAAUUUUUUUAGAAUUUUUGGCCGGGCCAAUUGGUACAGUUUAUUGGUUAAAGUCGUCCCUGUUCCUGGGUUCGACUACUCUGACCCUUGUGCAUUACGACUUAGAUAUCUCCCUUUACAGAGCUCCAAUACUUAUGUCGUUGGUUUCUAAUAAAAAUAGACUCAAAAGGGAAUCUAUACAUAUAAAUCAUGACUUCUAAUUGUCUCUGAUUAAUUUAGGGUGAAUUUCUAAAGUCGGGACAGGGGAUCCAGAAAUCGCUCUGGCCCUGUUUCACAAGAGUUUAAUUAUCUUCUAACAUACAGCUCAUAUGGUCGUUUCGUUUCUUCUAUAUGAAAAUAGACUCAUCGAGCUUCGAUUACAUAAUUUAUUCAUUAAUUAAUUCCAUUCCUACUAUUUUUAGUGAUUUUUCAAUCUCACGUCACUGCUGCUACCAGCAUCUGUUACUAAAGCAACUAUGCCUAUUUCGUGAUUUCUCCUUGAUCUAACUAGUAAUUCAUCAUACAUAUCACAAAUUAUGAUCAUGACUAGCCAUGCCAAAGGCUAAUCAUUGUCAAACAUCUCCCUACUACACUAUUUUCAUAUCAUGAAUUUUAACACCAAAAAUAAUCAACCAUGACAUAUGGCAUAAAAAUCGAAUUACCAAGACUUGCGACCUAACAUUAUAGAACCAAAUCCAACCGAACAUUUAUGCCAUUUUCGCAUGGCUAAAAGUUUACAUACCAAAUUUCAACAAAACAUAUUAGCCUAUACAUGCCGAAAUGUUCUCCUAGACCGACUAAAAAGAAGAUACCAAAAGUUGCUAGCCGGUGUGAUGACUUCGAUGACAGUCCCGAGCACGCAAAAAGACGAGUCCAAGAAACCUAAAGUAGGUGACAAGCAAACACCGAGUGAGUAUAUAACUCAGUAAGUCAUAAGCAUUACAUUGCCGUUCAGUAAUAAUAUAUCAUAAGAGAAAAUAAAUAAUGCGGGAUUAAAGUCCUCCAUCCAUACCCAAACUGUGCUAUAAUUCCUUAGGCAUUUCGGUCCGAUCUCAUACCAAGCCCUACUUUGACAUUUCAUACAUUACACCAUAUGACAUUGGAUGCAUUUAUCUUCAAGUAUAAUCACCACAUAGGUUCAAGACUUACCAAGCUCAAUCCCAAAUAUAAAUAAAAUGUCUAUUCCUCAUGAGCUCAAGGUGUUUACUCGUACCGCUGUCCAUGAUUGACUCGAUAAGGCCGCACACUUAGAGCAUGUAUAUUUAUUAGAGAAUGUAUAAUAAGCCCGCACACUUAGUGCUUAAUAGUCGAACUCGCACACUUAGUGCUAUAUAAUCAAACUCGCACACUUAGUGCUAUACAAUUUGAACCAGCACACUUAGUGCCAAUCUCAUGAUCAUAAAUGUUUACACCCGCACACUUAGUGCCGAAACCAACAACUCAAUACAUCUCACCUCUUUUCUUUUUCAUUCAAUACUUUCAUCACCCCAUGCAUACAUGUAUAUAUAUAUUUAUCAUUCCAUUCAGCAUCAUUACAUAGACGUUAUGACCAUUUAAAUUAAUACAAAAUAUAUGCUUAAUGACUUACCUUGUGUUGGGUAAGACGGUUCCAACUCGGCUACUCGAUGAUCUUUUCUUUGCCUUUGCUUGAUUCUCCUCCUUUAACUCCUUGAGCUUGAUCUAAAGGACCACCUUGGCCGAAUCUUGCUUCCUCUUCUUCCUCUAGUUACGACAAUUGCAAAAGAAAGAAAACAUGAACACUCCUUCUUCCCUCCUUAUUAAGCAUUCAAACUCCCUCAUUUUCAUGCCACAACAUCAAACACUCCUCCUAGAUUCAAGAAAUGGCCGAACUUCUUCAAAAUUUUUCUCCCUUUCUUUUUCUUGGUUUUUCGGCUAGGAGAUGGCAAGUAUGAACACCCCUUUUUUUUGUUCACUUUCCUAUUAUUAUUCCCAUCAUUUGUUAACUAAAAAAAUACAUAUUAAAUUAGAAUGAGUGGAGCAUCAUCACUCCUUGGCCGGCCACCAUGUAUUUUAUGGGUAAUUUGACAUGCAAAGCCAUGCUUCCUCUCCCUAUUAUUAAUUACUCAUUAUAAUUCAUCUAUCAUCUUUUCUAACUUCGUCAACUAGGUCCUUUUCGAAUUAAUUCACAUUCCUAAAGCUAAUAUUAAGCAUUUAAUUUCUCAUAUAUUCACUGUCACACAAAAAUUUAUGUAAUUAAAACACAAAAAUAAAUUUUUGGCUCGGUAAUGUGGUCUCGAAACCAUAUUCCGACCAGGGUCUAAUUAGGGUUGUCACACCACAGCAUUCUCUAAUUCUCUCUUCUCCUCUCUCACUUUUUCUCUCAUUUUUUCCAUCCCAUUUCCCUUAUUGUUCAAGAGCCAAUUUAUUCUCUUGGGAAAGAGGAUCUCAUAAGAAAUAUUGGAGCUGCAAUUAGGUGUCCAUAAGCCACCUUGAUAGCCGAUGGCAACAAAGAAUGAAGAAUGGAGCAACUAGUCAAGCCAAGGAGAAACACCGGAUUUGCUUCUUGUUCCCUAUCUAUUUAAGUUUUGUUGUUGUUUUGAUGAACAUGCUUAUGAAUAUUUAUGCUAUCAAAAUGGUUAUUUUAAUCAAUUUAGCUUAAAUUAAGUUUGUGUUAGGUUGAUUAUAUUCUGCCUGCUUGAAUUGUUAAAAUGAUGUUUAUGCUGUUAUAGGCCCCGGUAAAUUGCUUGGUCAAGUAAAAUCAUGUCUAAGUUAUUCUUGCGUUACGACUGUGAGCUAGCUAAUGAAUUAAUCAUUUAAAUGGAUUGCAAUUGUAAUUAAUUGACACAGUACUUAAUCAGUGCAUGUUUAUUCUUCUAAGGUAGCUGAAGGUUAAAUUAGCAAUGUAUCUGGCGAUAUUAUUGCCUUGCAUAACUUGCAAGCUUAUUGUGAUUAAACUAUUUCAAGGUAGGGAUGCCUUGUUACCUCACAUAGUCUUUUAUAUGCUGAUUAGAUUUAAUUAAUCGUUUGAAUUGAAAUAGGGAUAUGCAAGAGAUUAGUUCAGUUUAAUGAGUAUGUAUGUGCAAUAACAUGUUUGCUUACUAGAAUCUCUUUAGUCGAUUGAAUUGACAUAGGGACAUGUCAAGAGAUGAAUGUAUUUUUGUAUGUAAGUUUGUUCAUAAGUUAGCAAAUUACCGGGUUGCUGUGGAUUUAUUCGUAACAGUGUAAACAUUAUGUCACACAUGGGUAAAUUUUCAUACAUGCACCCUAGCUCAAAAUAUUGCUAAAAAAUGAUAGAACAUGCUUUCUAGAUUUUAAAAUCGAAAAGAGAAUUAAAAACAUGCAUGGAAAUCACUUACAAUUAAGUCUUGAAAAUGUUGAAACCCUAUGGUGAUAAGCAAAAUUUGGCGGCCCUAUGAAGAAGAUGAGUCCAUUUUUGUGUUACUUUUCCCUUUUUAAUGACUAUAUUUACCAAAUGAAAAAAUGCCAUUAAUGCCUUUCUUUGUAAUUUUCCAUGUACAAACCCAUUUUUGUCCAAAAUUUUAUAAAUUGGUUAAAUUUCUAUUUAAGACCUCCUAAUUAAUAUUCCAAAGGAAUUUCAUACUAAAAGCUUCUAGAAUGCAAGUUUUGCAACUUAUUCAAUUUAGUCUCUAAUUUCAAAUUAAGCACUUUAUGCAUAGAAUUUCUUCAAGAAAAUUUCACACAAUUAUGCAAUCAUAUCAUAGACCUCAAAAUAAUUAUAAAAUAAUUAUUUCUAUCUUAGAUUUGUGGUCCCAAAACCACUAUUCUGAUUAGGCCCUAAUUCGGGAUAUUACAACUCUCCCCCCUUUAGGGAUUUUAGUCCUCGAAAAUCUUACCGGUAGACGGGUGUGGGUAUUGAUUCCUCAUAGUUUCCUCGGGCUCCCAUGUAGCCUCUUCUACCCCGUGCUUUUGCCACAAUACUUUCACUAGAGUGAUACUUUUUUUUUCUUAGUUGCUUAACCUCCCGAACUAAAAUCUUAAUCGGUUCUUCAUUGAGAGUCAUAUCCGGUUGUAGCUCAAUUUUCGUCGGUGAAAUUACAUGUGAAGGAUCCGAACGAUACCGGCUUAACGUAGAUACGUGGAACACAUCAUGAAUCUUCUCAAAUUUAGGUGGUAAUGCUAACCGAUAUGCUACCGUUCCAACUCUUUCAAUUAUCACAUACGGUCCGAUAAAAUGCAGACUCAACUUGCCUUUCCGACCAAAUCUAAGAACUUUCUUCCAUGGAGACACUUUUAAAAAUACCUUAUCGCCGACUUGAAACUCGAUUUCUUUUCGUUUCAAAUCCACGUAGGAUUUCUGUCUAUUUGAAGGAACUUUCAAACAAUCUCGAAUCACUUUCAUUUUUUCUUCAGUUUCUUUAAUUAGAUCAACUCCGUAAAUCUGAUUUUCUUUGAGUUCAGUCUAAUACAAUGGUGUCUGACACUUACGACCAUACAAUGCUUCAUAAGGUGCCAUCUUCAAACUCGUCUGAUAACUAUUAUUGUAGGCAAAUUCUACCAACGGUAAGUAUCUUUCCCAACUACCUUGGAAUUCCAAUACACAACAUCUGAGCAUGUCUUCAAGAAUCUAAAUUACUCUCUCUAAUUGUCCAUCAGUCUGUGGAUGGAAGGAAGUGCUGAAAUUUAACUUCGUACCUAAUGCCUCUUGCAACUGUUUCCAAAACCGCGAUGUAAAUCUCGGAUCUCUAUCCAAAAUGAUCAACAAAGGUACUCCGUGAAGUCUAACAAUCUCACUGAUAUACGAUUCAGCCAACUUAUUAAGAGACUAAUCAGUACGUACUGGAAAAAAAUGAGCAGCUUUAGUCAAUCUGUCGACUAUUACCCAGACGUCAUCUUUCUUCCUCGGAGUUAAUGGCAACCUGAUACAAAAUCCAUAGUAAUUCGAUCCCACUUCCACUCGGGAACCAUGAUAGGCUGAAAUAGUCCCGAAGACACUUGGUGUUCAACUUUCUCUUGUUGACAAAUUAAGCAUUUCGAUACGAACUCGGAGAUAUCACUUUUCAUUCCAUUCCACCAAUACAUUUUCUUCAAAUCAUUAUACAUUUUUGUACUACCCGGGUGGAUUGACAAACAACCACUAUGUGCUUCGUGCAAGAUCUUUUGAGUCAAAUCAUCAUUUUUUGGUACACAAAUUCGAUCUUUAAACAUCAAGCAACCAUCAGAACCGAUUCUAAAAUCUGAUCCUGUAUCAGCCUCACAUUGCUUCCUCUUGGCUUGCAAAUCUUUGUCACUUUUCUGAGCUUCACAAAUCUCUUGUAAAAACAUCGGUCUUGUUUUCAACUCUGCUAGAAUCGAACCAUCGUCAGACACUGUCAAUUGAGUAUUCAUAGUUCUCAAAGAAAAUAAUGACUUUCUACUCAAAACAUCUGCAACCACAUUCACUUUCCCUGGAUGGUAGUCAAUCACAAGCUCGUAAUCUUUCUAUAAUUCUAACCAUCUCUGCUAUCUCAAAUUCAAGUCUUUUUAUGACAUCAAGUACUUAAAAUUCACGUCACCGCGACUGUCCAAACAAUUUUAUUAUCAAUUUUGAUCUUUCACACUUUAGUUACAUUCAUUGCUUAUCCUUAACAAUUUUUCCAACUUCCAAUCACAUAUCGAGCUUAUUACUCAUACGUUACACAUGUAUAUACUUACACUUAUCAUUACAAGGUCAUACAUAAUUUCCUUUAGUCGAUUUUCCCAUUGAACACUUCAGAUCGAGUCCCUGAUGCUUGGUGGUUUUAGCACGUAGUUCCACCCAUCACAUAGUUUGGCUCUCUUGUACACAUGGUGAACAUGAACACUUAGUACAACCCAUGGGACCUAGCCACUUUAUCUCGUAGCUCUCUUGUCUACAUGGAGUCCUUCACCUGGAACCACACAUGCGACCUAGCUACAUUUAUCCCGUAGCUCUCUUGUCUACAUGGUAUACAUCCCGUAUCACACAUGUGACCUAGCUACCACAUAGUAUCUCGUAGCUCUCUUGUACACAUGAUCUGCACUUAGCACCAUACAUGUGACCUAGCUACAUACCAUUUGUAUCUUUCGAUUUCGAAGGUUCAGCCAGGAAGUAUUUCACUUUCUAGUACUUAUUUCCAUUCUUCCAAUAGUCGAUUAUGAUUCAAAAUCAGCUACAAUAUAUAAAAUAUGCUAAAAUAUAAAAACGUAGAUAAUGUAUUAUUUACAUACAAACUUACCUCGGUGCAAAAUAUAGAAAUUUUGCAAUUUAGUCCAAAAUCUUUUCCUUCCUCCGUUCGAGGUCGAUUCCAUGCCUUUCUUGAUCCAUAACAACACAUUUAGCUCUUUUAACACUCAUACUAUCUAUUUCAAUCCAAAAAUCACAUUAUGAAAAAAAUACAUUUUUGCCCCCUAACUUUUACAAAAUUAUGAUUUUGUUCCUAGGCUCAGAAAUUUAAUUUCAUCCCUUAUUCUUAUGUUUUAUGACAUGUUGAACAUUUUUCUCUUCUAUGGAAACAUCAAAUUCUCACUCUAACAUGUACUUAUGAACAUUAGGUAUUUUUACCGAUUAUGCCGUUUUGCUCGUUUUCGCUAAAAAUCGCUUAGAAAAGAUCGUUCUCCUAACUUCAAGCAUUCAUAUUCUACCAUCAAAACCAAAACACAUGCAUAUCAUUCAUGGGUAAAUUUUUAAACAUAAACCCUAACUCGAAAAAAUGGUAGAAAGAGGUAGACCGAGCUACUAGGAUUUCAAAAAUGUAAAGAACAUUAAAAAUGGGGCUUCAAUGCACUUUCUAUUGAGCUUGGAAGCUUGGAAAAGGCCCUAGCUACGGUGAACAUACAAGUUUCGGCCAAGGAAGAAGAUGGAUGGACAAAGUUUGGCUUAUUUUUCUCAUUUUAUUUCUUUUAAUUACCAAAUGACAAAAAUACCCUUAAGGCCUUUCUUUAAAUUUUGUCCUAUUCGUGCCCAUUUUUGUCCAUAUAAAGUAUAAUGGUCUAAUUUCAUUUAAGGACCUCUACUUAAAACCCUCAUUUCAAUCAAGUACUUUAUGAACUAGAACACACAUUUUUCACCUAUUUUAAUUGAGUCCUAAACAUCAAAUUAAACACCAAUCAUAAAAUUUUCAACCUCAGAUUCGUGGUUUCGAAACCACUAUUUCGUUUUGGCCCUAAAUUGGGCUGUUACAAAUCUUUUAUUUUUUUUGCAUAAUGAAACAAGAGAGCAAAAUCACUAAUAAAAUGUGAGCAAGUCCCAAAGUAUAAAGUGUGACAAUAGAUAUAUACAUGUCUAGGAUUGGAUUUAGAAAGAGAUUGGUACUUAAGUAAUCAAAUUGACUCACCUCCUCUUUUCUAAAAACCUACCUGGUGUAUAGUAUCUGUUCACUUUAAACAAUGAGGACAUUGUUCAUUUUAAGUUAGGGGGACCGAAAAUUUGAAUUAUUUCCACUCAGAAUAAAAUUUUUCUUUUAAUUAUGAUUAGGAUAUAUUUUGCUCAAAAAUUUGAAUUUUGUUAAGUAUGCUCAAUUUGAGUAUGAAUAAAGUUUUAUUAUUUCAAUAAAUUAUUAUGUUAGCUUAAUAAUGACAUGAAUGUAUUUUUAAUAAAGCAUGCAAAUUCAUACUAUAAAUUUUUUAGUUCUUUAGGAAAGUUAGGUAUGCAUGAAAGUUUAAGUCUUUAGAAUUGACUUAGUAGUUUCUUGAGGCGAAAUCCUAUGGAGCAUGGAACGUUGGAAAUGAUUUAGGAAACUAUUGUUUGGACCGUUUGAGCCUUUCAAGCCCACCAUGGUAAAAUUUUAUCUUUUGAAACCCAACUUUGAGACUAUAUGGCCUAAUUUUAUUUUGACCCUUGCAAUAAUUAAGCCAUUACUUUUCACUUAAUGAUCUUAAAAUUGUCCCAAACAUUAGACUCAGUAAUAUUCAAAUGUACUUCGAAAAUAAGUUUGGGAGAGUUGAAAAGAAGUAUCAAUUGCUCGAGAAUUGCAGUAUACAAAGUAAGUUCUCUUGUUGAAAAAAAAGAGAAAAAAAAAGAAAAGAAAAGAGAGCACAUGUAUUUGAAAAAGAUGUACAAAAAGAGCAUAUGAAAGUCAAGUUGGUGAAUCGAAUGUAAAAACUCUGAAGGUUCGAUUGACGCUGAGUCUAGGAUUUUUAAACCAAAAUUUAUCUAUCUUUCAGCUACCCUUAGCCUAGCCACGUUACAACCUUGAUAAAGACCUAUUGAUUCAAAGUUCUCAUGCUACCUGCAUUAGUGGACAGAAAUUGCUACGAUCAACAUAUGAAGACAUAAGUUAAGCUUAGUGAUUGCAGCUUAGUCUUGAAUAAAGGAAUAAAAAUCAAAUUGUUAAGGGUUAACAUGUCUUUGUUACAAAAGCGUUUAGUCUAAAUUUUGCUAUUAUAAUAAGUUGUUGAAUUUAAUUUGAACAAUAUGUGUACUUAAGUAGCAUAACUAUUAGAUUUCUUAUCUUUGAGCAUAAGUAUUUUACAUUCAUAAUUUUGGGAAAAAUGUUGUUCUAAAGGAUUUUUUUUCAAAGCUGUUUCCGAGAGAUUCUUUUCAAAAUUUGUACAUUACUCGGGACGAGCAAUGAAUUAAGUUUGGGGGUGUGGAAACACAAAAAAAUUAUAUACUUUUUCAUACCUAACUUUACUUAAAUUCAUGCAAAUCCGGGUAAAUUCUUGUCGAAAAAUAAUUAAAUAUUAUUAAAUAAUUAAAAUGUGUUAAAAAUAUAAACAUGGUGAAUAUAGUUAAUUUUAUACUUAAUUUUGAUUAAUUUUGACUAUUUUCGACAGAUUCGCGCAAAAGGCAAAAAUUGGCUCGGCUGACACUACUGAAAACACAAAACCGAGAAGCAAUUUGAAGUUUCGAAGCACAUUAAUUUCCAGCCUAAGAUGGUCCAAAAAUGUGUAUUAAUUCAUAAUUUAAUUAAUUUUAAUUUAUUCCCUAUUAAAUUUGGGUUAAAUAAAUUAUUUUUAAUUAAUUAUGGAGAAAGGGUCCAGUUGAACCGCACUGGUUGAACCAUAUUGAGUGAACUGAACCAGCCACUAAUUGGGUAGCCCAAAACCGUCCAUAUGCUGACCCAAAUCAGCAUUUUAUCUGAUUAAAUAUGCUUGCAAAAAAUCCCUUGAAGAACUAUCAAAAUGCAUUCAAACCCCUCCUUUAAUUGUGGCUUUAUGAAAUUGCCCCAAGCUUAAAAUAGCAAAGUUGAAACUCUCAACUUUGCCAUGUGUGUGGCCGGACAAGGGAGGUCUCUUAGGCUGAUUCUUUUUGCUAUUUUUAGCUUCCAUACUUAGAUAUAAAAGCCACCCCUUGCUGAUCCCUCAACCAUCCCUCAUUCCACAACAUUCUCUCAUUCUCUCUUCUACUCUCUCAUUUUUUCCAUCCCAUUUCCCUUAUUGUUCAAGUGCUGAUUUCCUCUCUUGGGAAAGAGGCUCUCAUCAGCCAUAUUGGAGCUGCAAUUAGGUGUUCAUAAGCCACCUUGAUAGCCGAGGGCAAUGAAGAACGAAGAACGGAGCAACUAAUCAAGCCAAGGAGAAACAACGGAUUUGCUUCUUGUUCCCUAUCUAUUUAAGUUUUGUUGUUGUUUUGAUGAACAUGCUUAUGAAUAUUUGUGCUAUCGAAAUGGUUAUUUUAAUAAAUUUAGCUUAAAUUAAGUGUGUUUUGGGUUGAUUAUAUUCUGCCUACUUGAAUUGUUAAAAUGAUGUUUAUGCUGUUAUAGGCCUCGGUAAAUUGCUUGGUCAAGUAAAAUCAUGCCUAAGUUAUUCUUGCAUUACGACUGUGAUGUAGCUAAUGAAUUAAUUAUUUAAACGGACUGCAAUUGUAAUUAAUUGACACAGUACUUAAUCAGUGCAUGCUUAUUCUUCUAAGGUAGUUGAAGGUUAAAUUAGCAAUGUAUCUGGUGAUAUUAUUGCCUUGCAUAACUUGCUUGAUUAUUGUGAUUAAACUGUUUCAAAGUAGGGAUGCCUUGAUACCUCACAUAGUCUUUUAUAUGCUGAUUAGAUUUAAUUAAUUGUUUGAAUUGACAUAGGGAUAUGCAAGAGAUUAGUUCAGUUUAAUGAGUAUGUAUGUGCAAUAACAUGUUUGCUUACUAAAAUCUGUUUAGUCGGUUGAAUUGGCAUAGGGGUAUGUCAAGAGAUGAAUGGAUCUUUGUAUGUAAGUUUGUUCAUAAGUUAGAAAAUUACCGAGUUGCUGUGAAUUUAUUCGUAACAGUGUAAACAUGAGUUUAAUAAUUUUGAGUUCAAGAAAUAUAAUUAAUCCAACACAAGUAUGUUACCUUGAUUAAAUCUUAUUUGAAAUCGUGCAUUAGAACUCAUUUUUUUAUUUUUAAUUAUUUACUUAGUUUUUUUAAACAGUUUUGACCAUCUUUUAAAACCAAAUUAUUUUUACCUCACCAAAGUGUUUUACAAUUAGUUUCAUAAAUAAUUCUUUUUACAGUCCCUGUGGGUACGAUAACUCAACAUUUACUUGUCACUUUAUUACUUGUGCAAUUUCUGUCGUUCCAGGGACACACUCGUGUCCCCUACCCGUGUGGAAUUUAUUGAAUUUAUUUCUCAUAUCGAAUCUACAGGGGUUUUCACACGGCCAAGCACAUGCCCGUGUCUCUAGCCCGUGUCCUUCACAUGGCCUAGACAUGCCCGUGUGGUCGCCCGUGUCCAGAAGCUUGAGUAUUCUGUUUAUGACGUCCGCGUGCAUUUAGAGGCACACAGCUAAGGCACACGCCCAUGUGCUAGGUCAUGCCCUCCACACAGUUGAGACACACGACCGCGCCUCUAACCCGUUUCUUUACUACCAUGCAUUCUGACCUAAAAAUUUUAGGUGUAGGGGACACACGGACGGACUACACGCCCAUGGGGCUAUCCGCGUGUCACACACGGCCUAGACACACGCCCGUGUGUCUACCCGUGUAGACCUUAUGGGGAUAUUUUCCAAGCCUUUGGUCACCCUCUAAUAUUCAUAUCCACUUAUAGUUUUCACUAACACUUAACAUGGUCUAAUUGUACUUCUAAAUAACCUUAAUAGGCCUCAUAGCAUGUAAACCUCAUCUCAUCAGUUUUUACACAUGCUAGGUUAUCCCCUUUAUAUUAAGGAUUUCCAUGACUUGAAACUCAAUUAAACUUGGCUCGUUAUCUUAACUCAUUGCGAAAUCGUGGCCUAACCACCCCAUGUGAUUUGGUCAUAUUAUAUAUGACUAAUUGUAACACACCAUAUUUAAUCACUACAAGAACAUUGGAACAUAACAUGCACAAUUUGGUAGGUCAUAACGUACCCCAAAAUGAGCCAAUUCCCCUGGCCAUAUACAAGUGAAUAUGUAUACUUUUAUAAUCCUUCAUAUUGGCUAAUAAAAUGACACAUAUAACAAAAUAACAAAAGCCCUCUACAUGCCAUUGAACAAAAUAAGAGUAUCUGUAUACCAAAGCUAGACAAGAUGAUAGUGUGUUGAUUCCCCAACCGUCUCCCAAUCUUCGCGAGUCCACGAGCUCUGUAAGAUAGGGAAAAGAGAGGGGUAAGGAUUUACAUGCUUAGUAAGCCCGAACAACAGGAAAGUAAGCUUACCGAUUAAUUAGCAUGCAUCCAUAUUAGGCAAUAAAACCAACAAGCCUGAAAUAGUUUCCCUAUCACAUGCACUCAAUCGACAAGUUAGUUCCAUAACAAUACACUGUGUAAUUUGUCUUAGAUGAGCUCAUCAUCCAACAUUUUCAUUUUUCUAUCUCAUGUUAAUCCCGUGGAGUUUCUUAGAAAUCUCGAUGGAUUAUCCAUUUACCGUCAAGUCAUAAGAGCGAUCAUCUCAAGUACGCUCUCCCACGAACAUCACAUCAUACAGCGGGAUUACCAGUCCAGGUUAAAUACCAUAUAGCGACAAACACCCUUAAUGAUCUCAGAUCUGAAUUACCAAUCUAGGCUAAAUUCAGACCCUAAUCAGAUUACAUGUCCGGGCUAAAUCCACAAUGCACGCAUAUUUUUCGGGAGGCUCGAUCACUGAAGGAACACCCGUCCAGGCUAGAUCCUUUCUAUAUUUGAGAUCAACGGAUUACCCGUCUGGGCUAAAUCCUUUUCUACAACACAUACAGGAUCUCAAGUCAUGUAAACCGUGGUUUAUCCAUCGAAUUUCUCUUUUUACUUCAACCGGGACAUUUAUUAUCAUAUCAUUAUUAUUAACAAAUUUCAUGGAUUUUCGUGCCAUUACUAUAACCAAUUCUCAUACAUUCAUAAAACAUUCAAGUAGACUUAUUAAUAGUUUACUUAAAAUUAUACGAACUUACCUGGUACUCGUUUCGGUUUCACGUUUCGGUUAUUUUGAAACUUUUCGUUUUCCUCGAUCGACCUCCAGAAUUUGUUCCUUAGGGUAUAUAACAAAAAAAAAUGAAUCAUUAAUACCUCACAUUAUUCUUUUCGAGUCUAAAUUUCACCCCAGACAAAAUGACUAUUUUGCCCUUAACCUUUCACAUUAUUUACGAUUUGGUCCCUAGUGUGACAGCCCAAAAUUGACCCUAGUCGGGAAGUGGUUUCGGGACCACAAAACCGAGUCUUAUAAAUAAUUAAAGAUUAUAUUCUGUGUUUAUGAUGUGCGUAAAUGCUUGUGUGAUGGUUUUAUACUUUAAUUUGGUCAGUGUAUGUGGAAUUUAUUAGCAGGGACUUAUAUGAGAAAAUUUUAAAAUGUGAUAGGUCAAUGCAUGAGGACCUAUUAGUGCAUGUGGAGGAAAAAGGGGACUUGCAUGUCAAAUUCCCCCUCCCUAAUAUGUAGUGGCCGGCCAUGCUAUGGGUGGAAACAUGUUGGGAACAUGUUGGCCUAGUGAGGUAUGUAGGAUAAAAUAUAAUAAGAAGUAUGGGGAAAUAAAGAAAUGGAAAAAGGAAAGGAUGUGUGUAAUUGUUUCUUCCCCUCCCCAUUGCCGUGAAAGUAAGAAGGAAAAACAAAAAAAUUGUUCAUCUUUUAUCAUCCUUGGCCGAAAAUGCUAAGAAGAAGGGGGAAGGGGAAGUAAAACAUUCGGCCACUCCUUCUAGUCUGGACUAAGGUAUGUUUGAUGUUGUUCUUGAGAUGCAUGCAUGUUUUAGUAGUUGACUUGAGUUCUAAAAACCCAUGGUUCAAUUUUGUGGAUUGAUGAUGAUUUUGUGUUUUGCCAUUGAUGAGUGUUUGAGCUUUUCGAUAGUUGUUGAUGAAAAGUGAAAGAUGUGUUAAAGAUUAAUAUGUUUUGUGUUGAAGUUUUUGGUGAUUUUGAGUAGUUAGGGCUAAAUUACAAAAAUAAAUUUUUGAAGGACUCAAAGGUGAAAUAAAUGAAAUGUAUGGACUUAUAUGGGUACUAGGAAGAUUCGGCCCUUAAGGAGUGUGACCAAACUUUGUGUAUUUUGUGUUUUGUGGAAUAAAGACUAAAUUGUGAAAGUGCGAAAUAUUAGGGGUAAAAAUGAAAUUUACCCAUUUAUGCGUUAUUAGACUAAAUUGAAUGAAAAUAUGUUAAAUUAAGGCUUGGUAAGCUAGCUAUUAAGGUGAAAUGCUAAUGUUAGUAUUUGAUUUGGUAAUAAUCUGUUUGGGGACAGCAGCAGUAAGGUGAUUUUGGAAAAUCGCCAUAAUUUGUAGGAGUUGAAUUAGAAGCUGAGUGAAUUAUGCCAUUAAAGCUUGAAGAGUCUAUUUUCUUACAAAAGAAACUAUGAAAACAAAAGAGUUACCGAUCUUGAGAUAUUUGAAGUAUUGUGGGGCUGAGUCAAAAUGACUACUAGAUCCCCUGUUCUGUUUUUAGAAAAUCAUUAUAAAUUGUACAAAAAUGUUAUAAGAUACAAUUUAUAUGCUUAGACUCCUUAAUGAGUCUAGUUUCAAAUGAGAUCAAAUACAACACAUUUUGAAUUCUGUAAAAUGAGAAAUUUGAUUCGUAGUGAAGAGUGGUCAGAAUAGUCAACAGUGAAACACGGGAAACUUUAAGAAAAAUCUGGUAUUUAUUUGCCAAGCCUAAAAUUCUGAAAAUUUUAUGGAUGGAAGAUAUACGAGUCUAUAUUCAGGGAAAAUUAACGGCUAGUGAUUUGGAGUUUUGUAGCUCCAGUUAUAAACAAUUUAGCGACUACUGCUCAGGAAAACAGCUCGUAGUGAAUAUGUGAUUUUGUUGUAAACAUUAAUGAAAAUUUGCCAAUGAGUUAUUUAUUGAUUAUUAUAAAGCUUACUGUAAGCUAUGUGUGUGAAAGUCAAAUCAAUAUAUAUUAUUCUGAAAGUAAUACUUGAAUAGUCGAUUAAUGACUAUUUUAAAUUUUGUUGAACUUAAGCUCAAGAGCAAAAGGGAACUAGAUCCGAUAAAGGCAAAGAAAAGAUCACUGAGUAGCCGAGUUGGAACCGUCUUACCCAACACAAGGUAAGUCAUUAAGCAUGUAGUUGGUAUUGUUUUAAAUGGUCAUAAUGUUUAUGUAUUGAUGCUGAAUGGAAUGAAUAAAUAUACAUAUAUAUAUAUGCAUGUACGUAUGUGAUGAUGAAAUUGUUGAAUGAAAAGAAAAGAGGUAAGAUGUACUGAGUUGUUGAUCUCGGCACUAAAUGUGCGGGUAUAACCAUUUAUGACCAUGAGAUUGGCGCUAAGUGCGCGGGAUUAAAUUGUACAGCACUAAGUGUGCGAUUUGACUAUGUUGCACUAAGUGUGCGAAAUGAAUAUAAUGCACUAAGUGUGCGAAUUGACCAUGCGGCACUAAGUGUGCGAGUUGACUAUGUAGCACUAAGUGUGCGAGUUUGAUUAUGUGGCACUAAGUGUGCGAGUUGAUUAUAUAGCACUGAGUGUGCGGACUUAAUAUAUAUUCUUGAAUCUUUAUGGACACUAUGUGUGCGACACUAUUGAGUCGAUCGCGGGCAGCGGAUCGGGUAAGUGCCUUGAGUACAUGGCUAAUAGGUGCUAUGCUUAUACUUGGUGUUGAGCUCGGUAAGUUUGAACCUAUGUGACAAAUAUACUUGAAGUCACGUACAUAAAAUUUAUCGUAGGAUGGGUGAAAGGCCGUUUAGUCGUUUGAUUGUAACGAAAAUAAAUUGAUGUAUGAAAAUGCCUCAAUGUCCUAUUGAUGAGUAUAUGGAAUGUGAAUGCAUGAAGUGAUAUGAAACUGAAUCGAUAGGUUGGAGGAACUAUGGUAUGGUUCGGUAUGGAUGGAGUAAAUUGUCUCGUUCCAUUUUGUUUUCUCUUGUGAUAAUGUUAUGGAUGGAUGGUAGUGCAUAGCUUAUGACUUACUGAGUUAUAAACUCACUCGGUGUUUCCUUGUCACCUAUUCUAGGUUUCUUGGACACAUCUCUUUUUGCGUGAUCGGGCCGUCAUCGAAGUCAUCACACCGGAUAGCAAGUUUUGGUACUUUCUUCUUAGUUGGCUUAGAAGAACAUUUUGGCAUGUAUAAGCUAUUACGUUGUGUUUGAACUUGGCAUGUAAACUUUAAGCCAUGCGAAAAUGGCACGAAUGUUCGAUUGAGUUGGAUCAAGGGUAGGCAUGAAAUGGACCUAGUUACUUUCGUAACAGAUGCUGGCAGCAGCAGUGUCAUGAGAUUGAAAAAUCACUAAAAAUAGUAGGAGUGGAAUUAAUUGAUGAAUAAAUUAUGUAAUCGAAGCUCGAUGAGUCUGUUUUCAUGAGGAAGUAACGAAAAGAUCAUAUGGGCAGUAUAUUAAUAGAUAAUCAGAUUUUUGUGGGACAGGGCCAGAACGGUUUCUGGAUUCCCUGCUCCGACUUUGGAAAUUCAAUAUAAAUUAACCAGAGAUAAUUAGGGGUCGUACCAUAUAUGUACAGAUUCCUCUCUGAGUCUAGUUUUCAUAGAAACAAACGGCAUCAGUAUUGAAGCCCCGUGCAGGGAGAUAUCCAGGUCGUAAUGGGCAAAGGUCAGUGUAGUCGACCCCUGCAACAUGGGAGACUUUGACUAAUAAACUGUACUAAUUGGCCCGACCAAAAAUUCUAGAAAAAAAUACAUAGAUGGGCACAUGAGUCUAGUUUCUGGGAAAAAUCACGAAACUGAUUUUAGAGUUACGAAACUCAAGAUAUGAUUUUUAGAACGACUAGUACACAGAUUGGGCAGUGUCUGGAAAAUAAAUUUUAUAAGGGGUUAAAGUCAGUUAACACCUCGUGUUCGACCCCGGUGUCGGUUUCGGGUUCGACCCCGGUGUCGGUUUCGGGUUCGGGGUGUUACAUUUGAUUGGUAUCAGAGCUAUGGUUUAGUCGGUUCUAGGACUACCAUAGCACGUAUGAGUCUAGCUAUACAUGCCUUAAUGUUAAUGUUUAAAAGGGUGAUGACUUCUGACGGUUGAAAUGUUUUUGUUUUGAUUAGUAAAUGGAUCCCGGUGUAGAAAGAACCCUAGCGGAUGACGUUGAGAGCGUAGCGGCUGCUCCUGCACAAGGGACGCCGCCUGUUGAACCUCAGUCAUCUGCGAAUAAUCAAGGUGAGGGGGCUAAACAAGCCUUCUUUACCAUGAUGAAUGAGUGGGUCGCACAAUAUGCCCGAACCAACCCGGCUGUCCAACAAUUCCCAAAUUUGAAUAAUCCACCCCAAGAGCCCGUAAUGCCAUCAGUCGCUGAUCCUGUGAGGCUGAGUAAGCCACCUGUAGACUUGAUUAGGAAGCAUGGGGCCGAGGAGUUCAAGGCCAUAGUAACUGAUGAUGCCGAAAGGGCCGAGUUCUGGCUUGAUAACACCAUUCGGGUGUUCGAUGAAUUGUCAUGCACACCUGACGAAUGUCUAAAAUGUGCUGUAUCUUUGUUGCGAGACUCAGCCUACUAUUGGUGGAGGACCUUGAUUUCCAUAGUCCCGAACGAGCGAGUAACUUGGGACUUCUUUCAAACGGAAUUCCGAAAGAAAUUUAUUAGCCAACGGUUCAUUGAUCAGAAGCGUAAGGAGUUCUUGGAACUCAAGCAAGGCCGUAUGACUGUAUCUGAAUACGAACAUGAAUUCAUAAGACUCAGUAGGUAUGCCCGGGAGUGUGUAGCUGAUGAGGUUGCUAUGUGCAAAAGAUUCGAGGAAGGAUUGAAUGAAGAUUUAAAGCUACUAAUGGGUAUUUUGGAAAUAAAAGAAUUCGUAACACUAGUCGAACGAGCCUGCAAGGCGGAAGAACUUGGAAAGGAGAAGAGGAAGGCUGAAUUUGAAGUUAGAGAUUAUCGUAAAAGAUCGACGGGUAAAGCUCCGUUCUCAGCUGUAAAGAAGUUCAGGGAGGACAUUAAUAAGUCGAGGGCGACUGCGGGAAUUUCCAUCAGGGCAAGACCAUCGAUGGGCUCCCGAGCUACUUCGGUAGCUAGUGUGGGCAAUAAUCGUCACGAGAAACCUGAAUGUCCCCAAUGUGGAAGACGACACAUAGGUGAAUGUUGGGGCAAGUCUACUAGCAGGGCCUGUUACAAGUGCGGAUCGGUUGACCACUUCAUUAAAGAUUGCCCGAGGUUGUUUGAACAGAAUGUAAAUCAGAGUGGGAAACCGGGUGCUACCACUGCUCGAGGUAGACCAUUUGGAAAUACGGGCAAUGCUGGUGGUGGUCAGAGAGGAUCUAGAGAUGCUACGACCAGAUCCGAGGCUCGUGCGCCUGCUAGAGCUUAUGCUAUACGUGCCCGCGAGGAUGCUUCUUCGCCUGAUGUUAUUACCGGUACUUUUACUCUCUUGGAUACUAAUGUAAUUGCUUUGAUUGACCCCGGUUCUACUCAUUCAUAUGUAUGCGAAACCUUAGCAACCAGUAAGACUCUACCUGUUGAGUCUACUGAGCUCGUAAUUCGAGUAUCAAACCCUUUGGGUCAAUGCGUGCUUGUUGAUAAAGUGUGUAAGAGAUGCCCUCUAAUAAUCCGAGAAUCUUGUUUUCCGGCCGAUUUGAUGCUUUUGCCGUUCGACGAGUUUGAUGUUAUUCUUAGUUUGGAUUGGUUAACCGCGCAUGAUGCGGUUGUGAAUUGCAAAAGCAAGACUAUCGAUUUGAGGUGCGCAAAUAACGAAAUAAUCCGAGUUGAGUCUGCGGACUUAACGGGGGGUUGCCAGCUGUAAUAUCAGCAAUGUUGGCCCAGAAAUAUGUAUGGAAAGGGUGCGAAGCAUACCUCGCGUAUGUACUUGAUGACAAGGAGUUAGAAAAGAAACCCGAAUCGGUGCCGGUGGUUUGUGAAUACCCGGAUGUUUUUCCUGAAAAGUUACCGGGUUUGCCACAUGUUCGGGAGGUAGAGUUUGGUAUUGAGCUUGUACCUGGAACUACGCCAAUUUCGAUCGCUCCGUAUCGUAUUGCACUAACCGAGUUAAAAGAGUUGAAAGCUCAGUUGCAAGAAUUGACGGAUAGAGGUUUUGCUCGACCGAGUUUCUCACCUUGGGGUGCACCAGUGUUGUUCGUGAAAAAGAAGGACGGAACCAUGAGGUUGUGCAUUGACUAUCGUCAACUGAAUAAAGUGACGAUAAAGAAUAAGUAUCCGUUACCGCGUAUUGAUGAUCUGUUCGAUCAAUUAAAGGGAGCAUCGGUGUUCUCAAAGAUAGAUUUGAGAUCGGGUCAUUAUCAGUUGCGGAUUCGAGAUUCGGACGUACCCAAAACUGCUUUCAGAACGAGGUACGGUCACUACGAGUUCUUAGUGAUGCCGUUCGGGCUCACUAAUGCCCCUGCGGUGUUUAUGGAUUUGAUGAAUCGGAUCUUCAGGCCGUAUUUGGAUCGGUUCGUAGUUGUGUUUAUUGAUGACAUCUUGGUCUAUUCAAGAGAUGAGACCGAACAUGCUGAGCAUCUGAGGCAAGUGUUGCAAAUUUUGCGGGAUAAGCAGUUAUAUGCUAAGUUCAGUAAGUGUGAGUUCUGGUUAAGAGAGAUUAGCUUCUUGGGUCAUGUGGUAUCCGCAUCGGGUAUUCGAGUUGACCCGAGCAAAAUUUCAGCCAUACUUAACUGGAAGCCUCCGAGAAAUGUUACCGAAGUCCGGAGCUUUCUAGGGCUGCCGGUUAUUACCGACGAUUUGUCGAAGGUUUCUCGAUGAUAGCCACACCAAUGACGAAGCUACUUCAAAAGGAUGUUAAGUUCGAAUGGACGGAGAAAUGUCAGAAAAGCUUCGAUCAACUGAAAACUCAUUUGACUGAAGCUCCAAUUUUGGUGCAACCCGAAUCGGGUAAAGAGUUUGUCAUUUAUAGUGACGCAUCCCUACUUGGGUUGGGUUGCGUAUUGAUGCAAGAAGGUCGAGUUGUGGCCUAUGCGUCAAGACAAUUAAAGCCACACGAGAGAAAUUAUCCGACCCCUGAUCUCGAACUAGCCGCCAUUGUGUUUGCAUUGAAAAUAUGGCGACAUUAUUUGUUUGGUGAGAAGUGCCAUGUGUUUUCGGAUCACAAAAGUCUCAAAUAUUUGAUGACUCAACGAGACUUGAAUCUGCGACAAAGACGUUGGCUUGAGUUGUUGAAAGAUUACGAGCUUGUCAUUGAUUACCACCCGGGAAAGGCUAAUGUGGUUGCGGACGCCUUAAGCCGGAAAUCACUGUUUUCUUUGCGAGCGAUGAAUGUACACUUGUCUGUUCUAUCUGACAAUGUGUUAGUAGCUGAAUUAAAAGCCAAACCAUUAUUGACUCAUCAAAUUCUUGAAGCUCAGAAAGUCGAUGAUGAAUUGGUUGCAAAACGAGCUGAGUGUGUUCCGAACAAGGAAUCGGAGUUUCAGAUUGAUGAUGAUGGCUGUUUGAGGUUUAGAAGUCGUUUGUGUGUUCCAAGGAAUUCGGAACUCAUUCCGAUGAUUCUGAACGAAGCCCAUUGUAGCCGAAUGUCAAUUCACCCGGGGAGCACGAAAAUGUACAACGACUUGAAACGUCGGUUUUGGUGGCGUGGUAUGAAACGAGACAUCUCCGACUUUGUUUCGAGAUGUUUAAUAUGUCAACAAGUGAAAGCGGAACAUCAAGUGCCUUCAGGGUUACUUCAGCCGAUCAUGAUACCCGAGUGGAAAUGGGACCGAGUCACAAUGGACUUUGUGUCCGGACUGCCAUUGUCCGCAAGUAAGAAGGAUGCGAUUUGGGUUGUUGUUGAUAGGCUGACUAAGUCGGCUCACUUUAUCCCCGUGCGUACGGAUCUUUCAUUGGAUAAACUAGCCGAAUUGUAUGUCUCUCAGAUUGUAUGUCUAUCGUGUCGGAUAGAAAUCUGAGAUUCACCUCACGAUUUUGGAAGAAAUUGCAAGAAGCGUUGGGUACCAAGCUGCAUUUUUGCACCGCUUUUCACCCCCAAACCGAUGGUCAAUCCGAGCGGAUAAUUCAGAUACUUGAGGAUAUGUUGAGAUGUUGCAUCCUCGAGUUCAGUAGUUCAUGGGAACAGUAUUUACCUUUGAUUGAAUUCGCUUACAAUAAUAGUUUUCAAUCAAGUAUUAAGAUGGCACCUUACGAGGCUUUGUACGGGCGUAAAUGCCGCACACCAUUGUUUUGGACAGAGCUCGAUGAAAGAACGAUAUCCAAACCUAUUUACCGGUAAGAUUUUCGGGGACGAAAAUUUCUUAAGUGGGGGAGAGUUGUGACAGCCCAAAAUUGACCCUAGUCGGGAAGUGGUUUCGGGACCACAAAACCGAGUCUUAUAAAUAAUUAAAGAUUAUAUUCUGUGUUUAUGAUGUGCGUAAAUGCUUGUGUGAUGGUUUUAUACUUUAAUUUGGUCAGUGUAUGUGGAAUUUAUUAGCAGGGACUUAUAUGAGAAAAUUUUAAAAUGUGAUAGGUCAAUGCAUGAGGACCUAUUAGUGCAUGUGGAGGAAAAAGGGGACUUGCAUGUCAAAUUCCCCCUCCCUAAUAUGUAGUGGCCGGCCAUGCUAUGGGUGGAAACAUGUUGGGAACAUGUUGGCCUAGUGAGGUAUGUAGGAUAAAAUAUAAUAAGAAGUAUGGGGAAAUAAAGAAAUGGAAAAAGGAAAGGAUGUGUGUAAUUGUUUCUUCCCCUCCCCAUUGCCGUGAAAGUAAGAAGGAAAAACAAAAAAAUUGUUCAUUUUUUAUCAUCCUUGGCCGAAAAUGCUAAGAAGAAGGGGGAAGGGGAAGUAAAACAUUCGGCCACUCCUUCUAGUCUGGACUAAGGUAUGUUUGAUGUUGUUCUUGAGAUGCAUGCAUGUUUUAGUAGUUGACUUGAGUUCUAAAAACCCAUGGUUCAAUUUUGUGGAUUGAUGAUGAUUUUGUGUUUUGCCAUUGAUGAGUGUUUGAGCUUUUCGAUAGUUGUUGAUGAAAAGUGAAAGAUGUGUUAAAGAUUAAUAUGUUUUGUGUUGAAGUUUUUGGUGAUUUUGAGUAGUUAGGGCUAAAUUACAAAAAUAAAUUUUUGAAGGACUCAAAGGUGAAAUAAAUGAAAUGUAUGGACUUAUAUGGGUACUAGGAAGAUUCGGCCCUUAAGGAGUGUGACCAAACUUUGUGUAUUUUGUGUUUUGUGGAAUAAAGACUAAAUUGUGAAAGUGCGAAAUAUUAGGGGUAAAAAUGAAAUUUACCCAUUUAUGCGUUAUUAGACUAAAUUGAAUGAAAAUAUGUUAAAUUAAGGCUUGGUAAGCUAGCUAUUAAGGUGAAAUGCUAAUGUUAGUAUUUGAUUUGGUAAUAAUCUGUUUGGGGACAGCAGCAGUAAGGUGAUUUUGGAAAAUCGCCAUAAUUUGUAGGAGUUGAAUUAGAAGCUGAGUGAAUUAUGCCAUUAAAGCUUGAAGAGUCUAUUUUCUUACAAAAGAAACUAUGAAAACAAAAGAGUUACCAAUCUUGAGAUAUUUGAAGUAUUGUGGGGCUGAGUCAAAAUGACUACUAGAUCCCCUGUUCUGUUUUUAGAAAAUCAUUAUAAAUUGUACAAAAAUGAUUAUAAGAUACAAUUUAUAUGCUUAGACUCCUUAAUGAGUCUAGUUUCAAAUGAGAUCAAAUACAACACAUUUUGAAUUCUGUAAAAUGAGAAAUUUGAUUCGUAGUGAAGAGUGGUCAGAAUAGUCAACAGUUAAACACGGGAAACUUUAAGAAAAAUCUGGUAUUGAUUGGCCAAGCCUAAAAUUCUGAAAAUUUUAUGGAUGGAAGAUAUACGAGUCUAUAUUCAGGGAAAAUUAACGGCUAGUGAUUUGGAGUUUUGUAGCUCCAGUUAUAAACAAUUUAGCGACUACUGCUCAGGAAAACAGCUCGUAGUGAAUAUGUGAUUUUGUUGUAAACAUUAAUGAAAAUUUGCCAAUGAGUUAUUUAUUGAUUAUUAUAAAGCUUACUGUAAGCUAUGUGUGUGAAAGUCAAAUCAAUAUAUAUAUUAUUCUGAAAGUAAUACUUGAAUAGUCGAUUAAUGACUAUUUUAAAUUUUGUUGAACUUAAGCUCAAGAGCAAAAGGGAACUAGAUCCGAUAAAGGCAAAGAAAAGAUCACUGAGUAGCCGAGUUGGAACCGUCUUACCCAACACAAGGUAAGUCAUUAAGCAUGUAGUUGGUAUUGUUUUAAAUGGUCAUAAUGUUUAUGUAUUGAUGCUGAAUGGAAUGAAUAAAUAUACAUAUAUAUAUAUGCAUGUACGUAUGUGAUGAUGAAAUUGUUGAAUGAAAAGAAAAGAGGUAAGAUGUACUGAGUUGUUGAUCUCGGCACUAAAUGUGCGGGUAUAACCAUUUAUGACCAUGAGAUUGGCGCUAAGUGCGCGGGAUUAAAUUGUACAGCACUAAGUGUGCGAUUUGACUAUGUUGCACUAAGUGUGCGAAAUGAAUAUAAUGCACUAAGUGUGCGAAUUGACCAUGCGGCACUAAGUGUGCGAGUUGACUAUGUAGCACUAAGUGUGCGAGUUUGAUUAUGUGGCACUAAGUGUGCGAGUUGAUUAUAUAGCACUGAGUGUGCGGACUUAAUAUAUAUUCUUGAAUCUUUAUGGACACUAUGUGUGCGACACUAUUGAGUCGAUCGCGGGCAGUGGAUCGGGUAAGUGCCUUGAGUACAUGGCUAAUAGGUGCUAUGCUUAUACUUGGUGUUGAGCUCGGUAAGUUUGAACCUAUGUGACAAAUAUACUUGAAGUCACGUACAUAAAAUUUAUCGUAGGAUGGGUGAAAGGCCGUUUAGUCGUUUGAUUGUAACGAAAAUAAAUUGAUGUAUGAAAAUGCCUCAAUGUCCUAUUGAUGAGUAUAUGGAAUGUGAAUGCAUGAAGUGAUAUGAAACUGAAUCGAUAGGUUGGAGGAACUAUGGUAUGGUUCGGUAUGGAUGGAGUAAAUUGUCUCGUUCCAUUUUGUUUUCUCUUGUGAUAAUGUUAUGGAUGGAUGGUAGUGCAUAGCUUAUGACUUACUGAGUUAUAAACUCACUCGGUGUUUCCUUGUCACCUAUUCUAGGUUUCUUGGACACAUCUCUUUUUGCGUGAUCGGGCCGUCAUCGAAGUCAUCACACCGGAUAGCAAGUUUUGGUACUUUCUUCUUAGUUGGCUUAGAAGAACAUUUUGGCAUGUAUAAGCUAUUACGUUGUGUUUGAACUUGGCAUGUAAACUUUAAGCCAUGCGAAAAUGGCACGAAUGUUCGAUUGAGUUGGAUCAAGGGUAGGCAUGAAAUGGACCUAGUUACUUUCGUAACAGAUGCUGGCAGCAGCAGUGUCAUGAGAUUGAAAAAUCACUAAAAAUAGUAGAAGUGGAAUUAAUUGAUGAAUAAAUUAUGUAAUCGAAGCUCGAUGAGUCUGUUUUCAUGAGGAAGUAACGAAAAGAUCAUAUGGGCAGUAUAUUAAUAGAUAAUCAGAUUUUUGUGGGACAGGGCCAGAACGGUUUCUGGAUUCCCUGCUCCGACUUUGGAAAUUCAAUAUAAAUUAACCAGAGAUAAUUAGGGGUCGUACCAUAUAUGUACAGAUUCCUCUAUGAGUCUAGUUUUCAUAGAAACAAACGGCAUCAGUAUUGAAGCCCCCUGCAGGGAGAUAUUCAGGUCGUAAUGGGAAAAGGUCAGUGUAGUCGACCCCUGCAACAUGGGAGACUUUGACUAAUAAACUGUACUAAUUGGCCCGACCAAAAAUUCUAGAAAAAAAUACAUAUAUGGGCACAUGAGUCUAGUUUCUGGGAAAAAUCACGAAACUGAUUUUCGAGUUACGAAACUCAAGAUAUGAUUUUUAGAACGACUAGUACACAGAUUGGGUAGUGUCUGGAAAAUAAAUUUUAUAAGGGGUUAAAGUCAGUUAACACCUCGUGUUCGACCUCGGUGUCGGUUUCGGGUUCGGGGUGUUACACCUAGGCUCGUAUAAUGAAAUGCAUGAAUUUUAUUGGUUACCCAAGCCUAGCCGAAUAUUUUUCCCUCUUAUAGCAGCCCACAUUUUCCAUUAUUUCACAUUUCUACCACAUAUUUUGUACCUUUUGAAAAAAGGUCCUUUUAGGGAUUUUUCAUAAAAAUCAACUAGGAAAAGAUGUUUAACACACAUCUAACUUUCAUAUUCCUCCAUAAAUCAUCAAAUAAUAAACAUGUCACAUAUGGGUCACUUUACAUACAUGAACCCUAACUCAAAAUAUGGGUAGAAAUGGAGAGAGUAAGUUACCGGGAUUUCAAAAAUACGAAGAACAUUAAAAACUGGGCUAGAGAGCACUUACUAUUGAGCUUGGAAAGCUUGAAAACCCUAGUUAUGGAGAACCCCAACUUUCGGUAGCAACAUGGAGGGAAUGUGUUGAUUUUUGGCUUAUUUCCUUAUUUUAUUUCAUUAAUUAGACAAAUGACCAAAAUACCCUUAAGCCCUUUCUUUCAAAUUUUAUCCAUACAUGCCCAUUUUUGUCCAAAAACUUAAAAAUUGGGAAAAUUGAUCUUUAAGAACUUCUAAUUAAUAUUCUAAAGCAAUUUUAUGCAAAUUUCUUCUAGAAUCCAAGUUUUUCAAUUUAUUCAAUUUGGUCCUUAUUUUCCAAUUGGACACCUUACUCAUAGAAUUUCUUCAUGAAACUUUAGCACAUGUAUAUUUUCUUAUUCUAGAACUCAUAAUAAUCAUAAAAAAAUUAUUUCAACGUCAGAUUUAUGGUCCCAAAACCACUGUUCCGACUAGGCCCUAUUUUGGGAUGUUACAUUUCUGCCCAUUUUAGGGACUUUUGUCCUCGAAAGUCUUACUAGUAAACAAGUUCGGAUAUUAGCUUCUCAUGGUUUCUUCUAGCUCUCAUGUAGCCUCUUCCACACCAUGUUGAUUCCAUAAGACUUUUACCAAAGCCACAUCUUUUUUUCUCAGCUAUUUAACUUCAUGAGACAGAAUCUUUACCAGUUCUUCUCCAUAGGUCAUGUUCGGUCUAAUUUCAAUCUCCAUCGGUGAAAUCACUUGAGGGGGGUCUGAUCGAUAUCACCUUAACAUAGAUACAUGGAACACAUCAUGAAUCUUUUCCAGUUCUGGUGGCAAUGCCAAGCGAUAGGCUAAUGGUCCAACUCUUUCAGUGAUCUCGUAUGGUCCGAUAAAUUCCAGACUCAGUUUGCCUUUCUGGGAAAAUCUCAAUACCUUUUUCUAUGGAUAUACUUUCAAGAAUACUUUAUCUCCCACUUGAAAUUUGAUUUCUUUUCUUUUCAAAUCAGCAUAUGACUUUUGCCUAUCUGAUGCUGCUUUUAAACAGUCAUGUAUCACUUUAACCUUUUCUUCAGUUUCCUUGAUCAGAUCAACUCCGUGAAUCUGAUUCUCCUUGAGUUCCGUCUAAUACAAUGGAGUUCAGCAAUUCUUGCCAUACAAGGCCUCAUAAGGUGCCAUCGUUUGAAAACAGUUGUUGUAGGUGAACUCUACCAAUGGCAGGUAUUUUUCCCAGCUGCCCUGAAAUUCAAGGAUUCAACAUCGCAACAUAUCCUCAAGAACCUGAAUCAUCUAUUCAGAUUGACCAUCAGUCUGUGGGUGAAAAGCUGUACUAAAACUCAACCUAGUACCCAAGGCUUCUUGUAACUUCUUUCAGAAUCUCGAAGCAAAUCUUAGGUCUCUGUCUGAAAUAAUCGAUAGUGGUACCCCGUGUAAUCUCACGAUCUCAGAUAUAUACAAGUCGACUAACUUGUCAAGUGAAUAAUCUGUACUUACCAGAAUAAAAUGAGCCGACUUUGUCAACUUAUCAUAUAACAUCUUUCUAUUUCGGGGUCAAUGGUAAUCUUGUCAUAAAGUCUAUAGUGAUUCUAUCCCACUUCCAUUCGAGGACCAUCACAGGCUGUAGUAAACCGGAAGGUACUUGAUAUUCAGCUUUGACUUGCUAACAUAUCAAGCAUUUCAAUAGAAAUUCGGAGAUGUCUCUUUUCAUGCUGUUCCACCAGUACAUUUUAUUUAAAUCAUUGUACAUCUUGGUACUUCCCGGAUGAAUAGACAAACAGCUAUCAUGUGCUUCUUGCAAAAUCCUCCAAAUAAUUUCAUCGUUCCUCACUAUGCAAACUCUGUCUCUGAACAUCAAGCAUCCAUCAGGACUAAUUCAAAAAUUUGAUUCAUUGCCUGACUCACAUUGAUCUCUUUUAGCUUGCAGUACACUAUCAUUAGUCUGAGCAUCAUAAAUUUCCUGAAGAAAUGUUAGCCUAGCCCUUAGCUUUGCCAAGAUUUAACCAUCAUCAAACAACGCUAGUCGAGCAUUCACGGCCCUCAAUGCAAACAAAGAUUUUCUGCUUAACGCGUCGGCGACCACAUUCACCUUUCUCGGGUGAUAAUCGAUGAUUAGCUCGUAAACUUUAAUUAGUUCUAACCAUCUCCGCUGUCUCAGAUUCAAUUCUUUUUUAACCAUCAAAUACUUCAAACUCUUAUGGUCUGUGAAUAGACGACAAGUCUUACCAUAUAAAUAAUGCCUCCAAAUUUUCAAGGCGAAAAUAAUGGCGGCAAGCUCUAAGUUGUGUGUAAGAUAAUUCCUCUCGUGUGGCUUCAACUAUUGUGAAGCAUAGGCUAUCACUUUGCCAGCUUGGAUAAGUAGACAACAAUCCUUUCACAAAUCUUCGGAAGUAACCGACUAAGCCCAAAAAGCUUCUAACCUCGAUUACAUUUUUAGGUGGUUUCAAUUCAAUGAUGGUAGAUAACUUACUUGGAUCAACUCAGAUGCCAUCACCCGAAAUAAUAUGACCAAAAACCCUACUUCUUGGAGCCAAAAUUCACUUUUGCUAAACUUGGCAUACAAUUGUUUUUUCCGUAAAGACUGCAACACAGUUCUCAGAUGUUUCGCAUGCUCUGUCUCAUCCUUGGAAUAGAUCAAAAUGUUGUCAAUGAACAAAAUGAAAAACUUGUCCAAGUAUGGUCGAAAUAUCCUAUUUAUAAGGUCCAUAAAUAUAGCCAGUGCAUUUGUUAACCCAAACGGCAUGACAAGGAAUUCAUAGUGGCCAUACCUCAUUCUGAAAGUUGUUUUAGGCACGUCCAAUUCCUUAACUCGUAUCUGGUAGUAGCCGAAUCUCAGGUUUAUCUUAGAGAAUAUAGUGGCUCCCCUCAACUGGUUGAACAAAUCAUUGAUUUUUGGCAAAGGAUAGUUAUUCUUGAUAGUUACCUUGUUUAGCUGGCGAUAAUCUAUACAUAGCCUCAGUGAACCAUCUUUCUUCUUUACAAAUAAUACGAGAGCACCCUAAGGCGAAAACUUGGCCUUGCAAAACCUUUAUCCAUCAGUUCUUGCAACUGUGCUUUUAAUUCUUUCAACUCGGCCGGUACCAUCCUAUACGGAGCAAUAGAAAUAGGAGUUGUUCCUGGCACCAGUUCAAUACCAAACUCUAUCUCUCUAUCAGGAGGUAAUCCAGGUACUUCCUCUGGGAACACGUCUGGAUAUUCACAUACUAUUGGUACGGACUUAAUCUUCAACUCUAUUUCCUCAGUGUUCAGUACAAAACCAAGGUAGCCUUCGUACCCUUUUCUUAUAUAUCUUUGAGCAACCAUUGCUGUGAUUAUAACAGGCGGUGUAUCCAAUUCUCUUUAAUUAACCCGUAGAAUCUCACCAUCUGGGCACUUCAAUUCAAUAUACUUGGUACCACAAUUUACAAUUACAUCAUGCAGGGCUAACCAAUCAAUGCCAAGUAUUACAUCAAACUCAUCAAAUGGUAGUAACAUAAGGUUAGCCGGAAAAUAAUGACCCUGAAUCGUCAAAGGAGAAUUCUUACAGACUUUAUCAACCAGGACUGACUUGCCUAAUGGUUCGACACUCUAAUAAUAAAUUCCAUAGGUCCAAUGGAUAUAUUCAUACUAGACACCAAUCUCAUGCAAAUGUGUUAAUGCGUCGAUCCAGGAUCAAUUAAGGCAAAAAUACAAAUAUUAAAAAGAGAAAAAGUACCCGUGAUGAUUUCAGGAGUAGAGGCUUCCUCUCAAGCGCGUAUUACAUACGUUCUUGCCGGGGCUCGAGCCUCUAAUUUCACAGUGUCUUUGACCACAACCUGACUGCCACUAGCACUUCCAGGAUAUCUCAGAGGUCUACCUCGUAAAAUAGGAGCACUCGAUUUUAGGGCUACUUCCACCUCUUUAUCGGUUCGCUCUGGGCAGUCUCUGAGGAAGUGGCCAAGAGAACCACAUCUAUAGCACACACCGCUCUUCAUCUAACACUCUCCAAAGUGAAAUUUAUUGUAGCUUUUACACUUCGACUUUUGGUCAUCUACACUCCCCACACUAGUCACCAUCAGGGAGGAAGACUUUUGAUUACGUCGUUUGGAGCCUCUCGCUCUACCCGAAUAUCUUACCGAUGAAGUGUAGCAUUCAUGUUGGCUCAUUAAUUUCUUUAUGGGAAAUGAGAGCGUCUUACUGCUAGAUCUCUUGCUCGCAACUCGAGCUUCUCUCUUAGCUUGUUUCCUUUCAUUAUUGAGCUCCUCGACUUUCUUAGCCCAAUCAACUAAUGCAAUAAACUCUCAUAUCUCAAAGAUCCCAAUCAACAACUUGAUUUCCUCAUUCAGACCUUCCUCAAAAUGUUUAUACCUUUUUGACUCUGUUUGACCCCAUUCAGUCGUAUACUGACUUAGCCUUACAAACUCCCUUUCAUAUUCUAAUACCGUCUUAUUUCCUUUUUUGAGUUCCAAGAACUCCUUUCGCUUCAAGUCUAGGAACCUCUGACUGAUGUAUUUCUUCUUAAACUCCGCUUCGAAAAAUUCCCAAGUAUGUUUUCCUUUGGCACCACUGAAGAUACAGUCUUCCACCAGUGGUAUGCAGUAUCCUUUAAAAGAGAUACAACACACUUUAAAUACUCCUCAGGUGUACAAGAUAACUCAUCCAAUAAUCGUGUAGUGUUCUCGAGCCAGAACUCGACUCAUUCAGCAUCAUCAUCAAUUUUAGCUCUAAAUUCUUCAGCCCCAUACUUUCUAAGCUUGUACACCAGGGCUUUACCAACUCUUACAGGUGCCAUACCUCAUGGCACUUCCUCGUUAGGUCAGUUACGGGGCAGGGGAGGUCGUGGCAUAUUAGGGCGAUUUUUCAAAUAAUCCCCAAACCACUCAUCCAUCAUGUCAAAGAAGGCGGCUCUGGCCUCUUUCUGGCCCUCAGACAUAGGCUUUCUGCUACUACUAGAAACAGAUCAUUGUACGAAAGCUGGAGCAUGGCUCUAGGCAUCCUCAGACUCAUCUUGCGCUUGAUUGGAAGACAUUUACUAUAUUCAAAGAUGAUUAAACAAUUAGGAGAUGUCACACUAUCAACGUUCAUAUAAUGGCAUAUAUAGCUAACUCAAUACACGCUACAAUAGUCCUAGAACUAACUAAAUCGUAGUUCUGAUACCAGUAAAUGCAACACCCCUUACCCAUUCCCAAGAUCGGGACCAGGCAUGAGGCACUACCAGACAUAUACUCAGAUAUUUUCAAAAAAUUUAUAGGUCAUAAAAUUUCGUUCCAAAUUUAAAACCAAUCAGACAACAUAUUAGUGUCCUUAUUCUGGGCUUACGAGACCCUAAACAUGCAUUGAAAAUGGUCUGGAAUAAAACCAAGAACUUGAGAAAGUUCCUGGAAAUUUUGUUAGGUUAAGCUUCACACGCCCAUGUGGAGGCAAUACACAUGCCCGUGUGCUUUGGGACACACUUGUGUUCCCUAAUCAUGUGGAAUUUAUUGAAUUUCUUUCUCAUACUGAACCUACAGGGGAUUUCACAUGGCCAAGCACACGCCCGUAUCUCUAGCUCGUGUCCUUCACACGGCCUAGACACGCCCGUGUGGUCGCCCAUGUCCAAAAGCUCGAGUAUUCUUUUUAUGCCAUGCCCUCCACACGGUUGAGAUGCACGGUCAUGUCUCUACCCGUGUGUUUUCUACCAUGCAUUCUAACUUAAAAAUUUUAGGUGCAGGGGACACACGAAUGGACUACAUGUGUAUGGGGCUAUCCGUGUGUCACACACGGACACACGCCCGUGUGUCUACCCGUGUGGACCCUAUGGGGAUAUUUUCCAAGCUUUUGGUCACCCUCUAAUAUUCAUAUCCACUUCUAGUUUUCAAUAACACUUAACAUGGUCUAAGUGUACUCUUAAAUGAACUUAUAGGCCUCAUAGCAUGUAAACCUCAUCUCAUUAGUUUUUAUACAUGCUAGGUUAUCUCCUUUAUAUUAAGAAUUUCCAUGACUUGUAACUCAAUUAAGCUUGGCUCAUUACCUUAACUCAUUGCCGAAUCAUGGCCUAACCACCCCAUGUGAUUUGGUCAUAUUAUAUAUGACUAAUUGUAACACACCAUAUUUAGUCACCACAAGAACAUUGGAACAUAACAUGCACAAUUUGGUAGGUCAUAACCUACCCCAAAAUGAGCCAAUUCCCCUAGCCUCUAUAUGACUUAUUUCUAACCCUUUAACUGCUUUUAUUCGGACAUGGGGUCGAGGGUGAUUUUUUUAUUUCACGUUCACAAAUAGGCAUUCUAGAUUAUGCAUUUCAUCUAUCUAUAUAUACAGAUAAAUAGAUUGACCUAUAGGUUCACACAUGAUAUCUUUCUAUAUAGUGAUGGUAUCAACUCAUAUGGCCAUGUUCGAUUUGGUGGAAUAAAAAUAAAAUAGAAAUUAGCUUUCAGAGAGAUGGCUGAGUGGUUGAUAGCUCUGGUCUUGAAAACCGGUAUAGUUCGAAAUAGAGAACUAUCGAGGGUUUUAAUCCCUCUCUCUCCUUUUGCUUGAUGAACAGAUUUCUUUCUUUAUUGCUUUUUCCUAGCUUCUUAAUUAAGAAUCUUAAUAUUAAUAAAAGGUAAUGGCUCGGCUGGGUGGAAUAGCCGAGCCAGAAAAAAAUAUUUUAGAUAGAAAAUGAGUUGAAACGAAAGGAAAAUAGAAUACUUUUUAAAUCUCACCUGAUUCCUUCAAUAUAUAUAGUGUAAUCAAAUUGAUUCCUACCUUAAGCAUUGGAUCUCCUGUCUUAGUUAUCUCAGUUAAGAGGAGUUAUGGAAAGAACAGGCUCAAAAUCACGAUCAAUUCCUUUUUCAAAUCCCGCUGCGGCUGCACGAGCUCUUCCCGCGUGCCAUAAACGAACCACAAAUAGGAAGAAUCCUAGAACAAAAUGAGAGGUAGCUAACCAACUUCUCAGAGAGACAUAAUUAAAUGCAUUGAUCUCGAUAGCUACGCCACCUACAGAAUUUAAAGACCCUAAAGGAGCAUGCAUCAUAUAUUUCGCAAAACGCCGUUCUUGCCAAGGUUGUAUGUCUUUUUUUCAACCUACUCAAGUCCAAGCCAUUGGGACCUCUUAGAGGUUCUAACCAAGGAGAACGCAGAUCCCAAAAAUGUAUAGUUUCCCCUCCAAAAAUGACUUCUCUGGUCGAGGGAAUGCAUUAGAUAUUUACCUAACCCAGUAGGCCCUUGAGUGGAUCCCACGUUAGCCCCAAGACAUUGGUCUCUAACUAGAAAAGUAAAUGCUUGAGCUUGAGAAGCUUCUGGUCCAGUGGGCCCGUAAAAUGCACAAGGAUAAGCGGUAUUAUUGAACCAGACAAAGCAAAAAGCAAAGAAACCAAAAAUGGAUAAAGUACUUAAACUAUAAGACAAGUAAUCCUCUCCCGACCAUACAAGUGCACGACGAGCCCAUGCAAAAGGUUUGGUUAAGAUAUGCCAGAUUCCACCAAAUAGAAAAAUGGAACCUAACCAUACAUGUCCUCCAAUUAUAUCUUCCAAAUCGCCCACACUAACAAUCCACCCUUCACCUCCAAAGGGUGAUUUUAGUAAAAAACCAAAUAUAACACUUGGGCUAAGAGUCAAGUUGGUAAAUACAAGUGAAUUUGUAUACUUUUAUAAGCCUUCAUAUUGGCUAAUCAAAUUAUACAUAUAACAAAAUAACAAAAGCCCUCUACAUGCCAUUGAACAAAAUAAGAGUAUAUGUAUACCAAAGCUAGACAAGAUGAUAGUGUGUUGAUUCCCCAACCGUCUUCCAAUCUUUGCGAGUCCACGAGCUCUGUAAGACAAGGAAAAGAGAGGGGUAAGCAUUUACAUGCUUAGUAAGCCCAAAUAACUGGAAAGUAAACUUACCAAUUAAUUAGCAUGCAUCUAUAUUAGGCAAUAAAACCAGCAAGCAUGAAAUAGUUUCCCUAUCACAUGCACUCAAUCGACAAGUUAGGUCCAUAACAAUACGCCAUGUAAUUUGUCAUAAAUGAGCUCAUCAUCCAACAUUUUCAUUUUUCUAUAUCAUGUUAAUCCCGUGGAGUUUCUCAGAAAUCUCGAUGGAUUAUCCAUUUACCGUCAAGUCAUAAGAGCGAUCAUCUCAAGUACGCGCACCCAUGAACCUCAUAUUAUAUAGCAGGAUUACCAGUCCAGGCUAAAUCCCCCAUAAUGUAAACUUAUAGGGUGAUGUCGGGAUUACUAGUCCAGGCUAAAUCCCUUAUAGUGACAAACACCAUUAAUGAGCUCAAAUCUGAAUUACCAGUCUAGGGUAAAUUCCAACCCUAAUCGAAUUACCCGUCCGGGCUAGAUCCUUUCUAUAUUUGAGAUCAACAGACUACUCGUCCGGGCUAAAUCCUUUUCUACAACACAUGCAGGAUCUCAAGUCAUGUAAGCCAUGGUUUAUCCAUCGAAUUUCCCUUUUUACUUCAACCGAGACAUUUAUUAUCAUAUCAUUAUUAUUAACACAUUUCAUGGAUUUUCAUGCCAUCACUAUAACCAAUUAUCAUACAUUCAUAAAACAUGCAAUUAGACAUAUUAAUAGUUUACUUAAGGUUAUUCAAACUUACCUGGUACUCGUUUCGGUUUCAUGUUUCAGUUAUUCUAAAACUUUUCGUUUUCCUAGAUCAACCUCCAAAAUUUGUUCCUCGUGGUCUAUAACAAUAAAAAUGAAUCAUUAAUACGUCACAUUGUUCUUUUCGAGUCUAAAUUUCACCCCAGACAAAAUAACCGUUUUGCCCCUAACCUUUCACAUUUUUACAAUUUGGUCCCUAGGCUCGUACAAUGAAAUGCAUGAAUUUUCUUGGUUACCCAAGCCUAGCCGAAUAUUUUUUUCUCUUAUAGCAGCCCACAUUUUCCAUUAUUUCACAUUUCUACCACAUAUUAUGUACCUGUUGCAAAAGGGUCCUUUUA